rnacentral:lncRNA from 1 species
CAGGUCUCGUCGACGUACUGCACGAUGACGAGCGACUCGCACACCGGGCGGCCGCCGUGGAUGAGGACCGGCACCUUCUUGUGCACCGGGUUGGACCGGAGCAGGAGGUCGCUCUUGCCGAAGAGGUCCUCCUCGACGUACUCGUAGUCGUAGCUGCUGAGCCCCUUGAGCCCCAGCGCCACCUUGGCGCGGACCACGUAGGGGCUGUACCACGAGCCCAGCAGCUGCAGCUCGCCUCCGGCCGCCAUUGCAGUAGCCUUGCACUUGCAGGCGGCUUUGUUGUUCGACGCUGUUGGAAUUGUCGAUAGUUUUCACGAUUUGCGUUGAGCGAAAGGGGCGAACAAUCAUCGUAUAUUUAGGCCUUGUUUAGUUCCUGAAAAAAAAAAAUUUCAUCAUACUGUAGCACUUUCGUUUGUUUGUGGUAAUUAUUGUUCAACUAUGUCAAAAGAUUUGUCUCGUAAAUUUCGACCAAACUUUGCAAUUAGUUUUUAUUUUUAUCUUUAUUUAAUACUUUAUGCAUGUGUUUAAAGAUUCGAGGUGACGGAAAAUCUUGAAAAAUUUUGCGUUUUUUUGGUGGAACUAAACAAGGCCUUAACUGAGCUGGGUUAGGUAGUCAAACUUUGAAUCGUUGACUGGUGAACCGACGUUGCUAAUCAGCGGGGCUGCCGGGGCAGCAGGCAGGCAGCGAUUUUCGUCAGCUCUGUCGUGAGCAGAGGAAAAAGCACAGAUCGUAAAGUGGACAGCUGGCCAUUGAAGGAAUCAUUGAGGAUAGUAAACAACACUAAUCUGUCUCGAUUCUUCUAAAACCAGCAAUUUAUACCUUGUUUAGUUCGCAAAAAUUUUCAAGAUUUCCCGUCACAUCGAAUCUUUGGUCGCAUGCAUGGAACAUUAAAUAUGGAUAAAAAUAAAAACUAACUGCACAGUUUACCUGUAAUUUGUGAGAUGAAUCUUUUGAGCCUAGUUACUCUGUGAUUGGACAAUGUUUGUCAAAUAAAACCGAAAUGCUACAGUACCCAAAAACAAAAAAUUUUGCGAACUAAACAAGGCUUUUUUUCUGCGGGUGACCCUACAGGGCUACAUCAGUGCGUACAUCCUAGCCGAUUGACACAACUUGGAGAAGAUCAGAGCAAAUCAAUCCCAUGGCCACAUCGAAUCCGACCAUAACGGUAUGCCGACAAAUUUCUUUUCACCCUAUCCACUAUUCUCAAAGUUUAAUUUUCAUCCCUCUGUCUAUAAAACCGCACGUUAGUCCCUUCAACUUUUAAAAUGAUUGGUUUUGGUCUCUGGACGGUUCAAACAACGAUUUAGUUUACAUGACAUCACAUUAGCCGUCGUCCUUAUCGCCGUGUCAGUAGCAAGAAGGUAAAUGUGUUGAUAGUUCAGAAUGGUAAAUUGGUUACAAAUACAUUUUUAAAAUUAUCUAAACAUUUUUAUAAAAGAUAUACAAUUAAAAGUCCUAAAAUCUUGUUUAAUCUUAAAAAAUACAAAAAUAAAUUAUUUUAGCUAAAAAACUGAAACCAGUUAUUUUAAAAAUGCUAUAUCUUAUUGCGUCUAGGUUGAAAUUACUUGAAGUUCUAUAACUUUUUUAGUAUUUAUUUGUUAGUAGCUGUUCUAUUAACUAGACCAUAUGAGACUAGAGCCUCUCAACACUCAAUUUGUUUUGAUUGCCGGAUCUAAAAUCAAGAUCUCAGAUCAAAUCACUCGCUCUACCUAUUUUGUAGGGGGGGCGUCCUUAUUUUUUUGGAGUGCAUUCUAUGAAAUGCUACCAACUAAUUAAAAUAUAAUUGGAUUUUGAUGAAGAGUUGAUAAGCAUCAAUUCACCACUUACAUUACAAGCUAGGAGCUAAAAAAACUCUACUGCCCACCACUCUAAUUCACUCAUCACCCAGAAUCAUUUCACCAGCUCAAUAUCUUGCUCCCCCACAAGAAUUACUCUACAAGAGAAUCAAUGAGUGGAGCUCUACUAAAUUGGAUCCUUCCCCUUCUUCUUUCACCAUUCACACUGACCGUGCCCAUCUGUGUCACUCGCCAUUGCCACCUUCACCUCCCUUCCUAGUUCCGGUGGUGCCCUUUUCGACAGAUUCACUGUCCUCCAUCACAACCCAUCGCUAUAAUCAAUCACAAAUCAGCGUUAUAAUCAAUCUGACAUGCCUCCUUCCUGCCAUCUCCUUAUCUGCAUUCAUUCCCCCGCCUUCAAACCCCUCCUAUUGGCUUCAGUGGUGCCUCACUGCCUUCGUCAGCGUUCAUGACCGUUCCCACGCUAACCGACUAGCUCUGGCAUGCUAUCAACAUUAGAAGUUUGACGCCACUGCUAGGUUGGCUUGCUCCUCCCCUAAUACCUAGAUUUCCUUCUACCUGCUAGAUUCUUUUCGAACCCUGAACAUCGAAUCCCUAAACCCUAACCGCAGCACUCAUCGAGGCUGAGAAACAUGUCGGAGAAGGAGGAGAAACAAGGUUGGUGUUUGACGAUUGGUAGUGCUCCAUCUACAGCCAAAAUAGUUUCAAUUAUAGCUUUUGUAAUGAAAUAGUUUUCUUGUCUCCAGCUUCACUAGUUAGAUUUCUCUAUUUCCCUUAUCUUCUUCCUCGUCCUAGAGCCCGUUUGCAGCCUGCACAACACCCCUCUGCUUCCCCUGCCCAUGCCCAUCUCUAUUCUUGUCUUAUUGCCUUUUCCUCCGCCUACCUCCAUUUGCUGCCCCCCUCCUACUAUGCCGCUAUCCGCUUUUAUCUCCUACUCCAUUGCUUGCUCCGCAUCCAUUGGCCAUGCUUCUCUGUCUUGGGCGCUCAACCCUCGUGCCUCAUCUCCUCAUUUGUCUAGGCUGGAGAUAAUUUGUCCCUAGGGCCACGAAUACGAAGACGAAGCCUAAGGAAACCACUUUGUUUAGCUCCGUCUCGCAUUUUUUGCUACUCCCAAUGCAACUUGUGGGUGAGGCAGCUCAAGCUGUUGCUCAUCUUCCCGUUUAGUUGGAGUCAAGAAGCUAGAUAUAGAGCGGCUAACAAAGCGCUACCAAACAUAUCCUUAGAUUAAUAAAAGACACGAGUCUGAAAUUAGAAAUCCAUUUCAAUACAUGGUGAUGCUUUGAACAUAUCACCAUCGUAGGCCUUAUUACACAAUUUUUUUUAAAAAAAAAUCAUCUGACACCAAAUAUAUUUGUCCAAAUACAAAUACUGAACUUUUAACUGGCGGGAUCUUAUUUAUUUAUUUGGUUCCAACUGACCAACUCACUGAAGCACUGAACGUAUCCACUAUCCAGCAUAGUGCAUCCACAAUCAAGUAGAUUUACAGAUACAUAUAGUCAUAUUCAGUACGUUCAGGUAGAACCAGCGGCCGCAAUCCAUUUAGCCCGAAACCCCUUGUACUGCUCCAGGACCUUCCCCGCGUCCGGCGUCACCUUCUUCACGGCGUCCACGGCCACGAACCGCUCCGCCCACGCCGCCAAGCCCGGGAACUUGGCCCCGUCCAGAAGGUCGGUGCCUCCCACCUCGUCUACCACUCUGAUCCAAAUCAGGUGGCUCCCGAGCGCGAUGUCCACGAUCCCGACGGCGUCGCCGCCGAAGAACGCCUUCCCCCUGGAGCACUCCGCGAACGCCCGUUCCAACGUCUCCACCGCAGGGACGGCGCUCUGGAGCGCCUCCGCUCUCUGCUCGUCCGUCAGCGAUCUGAACAGCACCCUAAACGCCGGAAAAAACUACAAACAGAAGAUUGAAGCGCUGAUAACUUGAUAAGCCAUGACUGAAAAAACAUCAGCGAACAUAGCGAGGCUGAUCUGAUCGAAGGCCAGAAAAUCGAUUCGUUUCCUCUGCUGCUUACCUUGUCGUUGACGUAGGCCGCCCAGAACCGUGCCGUGGCGCGGUCGUAGGGGUCGGCUGGGAGGAGCGGAGGAGGACCGGUCGUCGUCGGCCACGACUCGUCGAGGUACUGCAGGAUCACGAGCGACUCGCGCACCGGGCGGCCGCCGUGGAUGAGGACCGGCACCUUCUUGUGCACCGGGUUGGACCGGAGCAGGAGGUCGCUCUUGUUGGCGAGGUCCUCCUCGAGGUAGUCGUAGCUCAGGCCCUUGAGCCCCAGCGCCACCCUCACUCGGAUCACCCAUGGGCUCGACCAUGUGCCCAGCAGGAGCAGCUCGCCGCCGGCUCCUGGCGCUGCCAUUGCAGUUUGCAGAGGUUUGCUUCGUGGUAUCGUGUGCCGCUGAGUGGUGGUGGGGAUCGAGUUGUAUAUGUACGAGUGUAUGAGGUGAUGACCAAGGUUUGACUAGCAGCAGCGAGUCGAGAACUCGAGAUUCAUGUGGGCGACUUGGAAUUUGUGGGUGGUCCUUUCUCGUCGCCAGUCGCCACUGCUUGUUGGAAAAGAGGUGCCGCGAUUGCGCCAGCGCUGUCGUGUUUUAGGAAAGGAUGUUCUGCGCGCCCAUUGUGCCCGUGGAGGAUUUGGGACUGAGUGAACGAUGGGAAGGGCAGCGGUUUCUAAAAGUCAACGCUUCUUCCAGCUCCGUAACACCAGUCUCGAUUAAUAAUUUCACGGCGAUGUCAUAUAGAAUAAAAUAAAACUUAGAUAAAAUAUUUUGUCCCAAUGUAAAGUUUCAUUCAAAACUUCUACUGAGACUGCUCUCUUAUAAUUCUGUCACACUUCCGUAGCUAGUGAAUGGUUGUGCAUAUAGUGCUAACAACUUUAUAAUAUUUACACUUAUAUGGACGUUGUUGGAUUCACCUCAAUCCACAUGUGUUGAUAUGAUUUAGGAUUCAAUCUACCUAACACAUGUGGAUUGAUGUGAAUCUGUAAACAAGGUCUUAGAUGUUUUUAACUUCAAAGUGAUAUAUGCAAAUAGUUUGUUUAUUUUUAUUGUAACUGUCUACUCUAUGUACCGCACUGCAUUCAUCAACAUAAACUCCAUUUAGGUAGAGUCGACUAAUUUAUUGGCUAAGUUAUUGUCGUCUCUCCUUUUUCUUUUUCACCACUCCUACCCAUGGUUGUGCAACUUGUGUAGAGGCAAAAUCGAGUUAGCUAUUCAGUUUUGUUUCGACGAGUUAGCUCCAUUCCUCGAUAAAACCAGGAUUCAAAUCUCUUAAAAAAUUAUUUUAUCCUUCGCCCUCUAUUUAAAUUUAAAUUUUAGGUUCCCUUGUACUUUCUCAUACGGAUCCAUAGUUCAGUUUUUGUCCUAAAACAUGGCGAGAUUUGUCACAAUGUGUUGCGCAUGUCUACUGGAGCCACUUCUGCCUUCCCAAACGAAUAGUGGAGUAUUAUUGACGCCAAUCAACUGCUAAUCUUAGAAUUAUUGAGACGGUGACGUUUCCAGGUCGUUGCAAAUUUUUUUCGUCAACACACACAGCACUGUCCUGCUGAAGGGAGGUAGAUGCAGAGCAUGAAGCGGGCAGCAUCUGGUGGGAGAGUGGAAGAUUGAUGUGCUGAUCAAGAAUCGAUUUUUUUAGGCUUUGUUUAGUUCGUAAAAAUUUUCAAGAUUUCCUGUCACAUCAAAUCUUUGGUCGCAUGCAUGGAGCAUCAAAUAUAGACGAAAAUAAAAACUAAUUGCACAGUUUAUCUGUAAUUUGUGAGAUGAAUCUUUUGAGUCUAGUUACACUGUGAUUGGACAAUGUUUGUCAAAUAAAAACGAAAGUGCUACAGUAGCCAAAAACCAAUUUUUUUGCCAACUAAACAAGGCCUUAAUCUGAUCAUGAAUCAGGUUUGGCCUGAGCAAGUCAGGCUUCUUAAGGCUCCGUUGGCUUUUCUUAUCAUCCAACAAACAGUAAUUUUCGACUGUAUCGAUUUCAGAGAAGGAUGGAUGAUGCAUUGAUCAUCUCACCAUUUGUCCAUUUCGUAUGUCUUUUAGACAAAUUCGCAGACCACUUGACACCAAAUACUUCUCCAAGUACAAAUACUCCAAUUAAGCAGGUGUUACAACUUCGGAGUACUGGAUCUCAUGGAUUUAUGGGUCAGACACCGGCUCACUGAAUGCAAGUAGGCACACAGUGUGUUCAGCUAGAAUCAGCUGCUGCAGUCCAUCUAGCCCGAGACGCCCUGUACUGCUCCAAAAGCUUCCCGGCGUCCGGCACCACCCUGUUCACGGCGUCCACGGCCAUGAACCGCUCCGCCCACGCCGCCAGGCAAGGGAAUUUGGCCCCGUCCAGAAGGUUGGUGCCUGCCGUCUCGUCCACCGCUCUCAUCCAGAUCGGGUGGCUCCCGAGCGUGAUGUCCACGAUCCCGACGGCGUCGCCGCCGAAGAACGCCUUCCCCUUGGAGCACUCCCUGAACGCCCGCUCCAACGUCUCCACCGCAAGGAGCGCGCUCUGGAGCGCCGCCGCUCUCUGCUCGUCCGUCACCGAUCUGAACAGCGCGCUAAACGCCGGGAAAAACUAGAAACAGGAAAGAAAACGGCCGAGUCUGAAACUGAAAGCCCCGAAAAAUUGGAUUCGUUUGCUGAAUGGAGUACCAUACCUUGUCGUCGACGAAGGCCGCCCAGAACCGUGCCGUGGCGCGGUCGUAGGGGUCGGCUGGGAGGAGCGGAGGACCGGUCCCCCGCCAGAUCUCGUCGAUGUACUGCAGGAUCACGAGAGACUCGCACACCGGGCGGCCGCCGUCGAUGAGGACCGGCACCUUCUUGUGCACCGGGUUGGACCGGAGCAGGAGAUCGCUCUUGUUGCCGAGGUCCUCCUCGAUGUACUCGUAGCUCAGGCCCCUGAGUCCCAGCGCCACUCUCACCCGGAACACCCACGGGCUCGACGACUUGCCCAGCAGACGCAGCUCGCCAUCUCCUACCCCGCUUCCAGCCGCUGCCAUUGCCAAGUGCUAUUGUGUGUGAGCUGCUGUCUGCCAGGGUCGGUCGAGUUGUAUAUAUGUACGGUCUGAUGCGAUGACCAGACGGAUGUUUGGUUUGACUAGUACAGUGAGGUGAGGGGCAACUUGGAAUUUGCAUCCGGUGUUCUUAUCACGGUGUCUGUAAUUUAUGAGACGAAUAUUUUAAACCUAAUUAAUUUAUAUUUAUAUAAUAAUUAUUAAAUAUAAAUAAAAGUUCUACAACACUCAAAACCAGCAAAUUUCGCCAUACGAUGACUUUUCCAAAAUAAAUGCAUAUUUUGUAGAAUCAACAAAUACUAGUGUUUAUGAUAUCAAAUAAGAUCAAAUGAUCAAUGCCAUAUAUUCUUUAUAAACUAAUUUGAAUAUAACUAUUGGUACUAUUUUCUAUAAAUCUAGUUAUGCUCAAAAUUAUUUCGUUUAUUGAAAUACGAUAUCUAUAUUUAUUUUAGUACAAAGAAAGUACUGUUUAACCCCUACUGAAAGAUAUAAUUCUAAAAUAGUAUUCACUCAAACUUUCAAAAGUUUAGCUCAGUUUAUAGAAAAGGGUAUAGUGUUUAAUUAAUAUAUACUUAAAUGUGUCAUUAAAUUUGAUAUAGAAUAUAACUUUCUUUCACUCGGACGAGACAUGAGAGUGAUUAAUUCAGUUUCUUUCACGUUAGGCCUAUGACUCUAUAGAGAUGAGCGUGACAGUGUCACUUGAGUUCGUAUCUUGUGAGGACAACAGAGUUUGUAUGGUGUGAGGACAACAACUCCACUCAGUCAAUAGGUGGGAUCUAACUACUGCAUGCCCACAAAAUAGAAAAUAUAAGUUGAUAAAAUGAAUUUACAAGUGAUUGUAAAAUGCCAAAAAAUUUGGAAAAAUACUAUCAACUUAAUUUUUGUUGUUGUUGAAUAAUGCCAAAUAAAAAAAAUGCAAAAAGCUAGAAGUCAAGGCGUGCAUCCGCUGCUACUAUCACCAAACACCCAACAUAGCGAAUUAACACCAAUAUCGGGCCGGCUGAGCAAGAUGGAGGGCCACGACCUACUCGUACCCAUGUUGGGCCUCCUGUCCUGUGGGAUUACAUGGGCCACUCGGCUUGGUGGUGGGUGAUCUUCGUUUAGAAACUCCCGGCUAACCAUUUCACCAUUUGUGCCUCCAUAAUUAUAGGAUCGCAAUUGCGUACCUAUAAACCUCAUCUGCCUCCUGAUCAAAAAACCCUCCUCCGCCUCCACCUAGAGUUGGCCGAUGACUAGUUCUAUAGUCUCUAAUUCACCUGAUUCACCUUUACGACGUUACCUGCAGAAAAUCUGCUGGCUCCUGUUCAGAAAACAAUCGGAACGGCGUGAAAAGCCUGAGACAACCUGAACUUUUUGAAACAUUGAGACAACCUGAACUUUUUGAAACAACCACUUGAAAUGAAGGCACACGUGUUCAAAUCCGCACCGACAGAUUCGAGCUACCUCAUCGACAUAACACCAACCAUCCAAAAAUUAUGUGGCUCAUAAAGAUCUUGACGGUCCCCAUUUGCGGUACCAAUUAACCAAGGGCUUCGCUAUCAGCCACCAAAAACGAGCUGCUAUUAACUGUCAAACUGCAAGAGGAGGAGGCCAGCGACAGACAAGAGCAGCGUGGAUAGAAUGGGAUCAAGUGUGCUGUGUGGUAGUGAGCGCCCUGAGCCCUGCCAAGCAGGAUAGGCUUCCAGUUCCAGGGAGCUGCUGCAAGUAGCACUUGCCCAGUUGCCCUCGUUUAAUUGCAUACACAUAAAUUCUCUCCGUCCAAAAAGGCAAAAACACAUCCUCCCGAGAAGUUCUGUUUGGCCUUUUAAUCUUGGUGUACUUCAAUUUUUUUUUGUUUCUUGGACUCAUCUUCUUGUAAGGUUGCGUUCUGAGCUUCUGAUUGGAGGCCGCCAUGGAUGAGGUCCCGGGAAGAAGUAGCUCCGUGAGAGCUACAAGGAGCAUCUUUGGCGAAAGCAUCGGUGGGAGGAAGCCGGAGACGAACAGGGCAAGGAAUGUUCUAGGACAACAGGUAACACAAUUCUGAAUGAUUCUUCAUCAGAAUAGUAGUAAACCACUGUUCGAUUGCGCUUCAUAUCGGUCUUUCCAAAUCAAAUUGCGUUUCAUACUCCUAAACACUCGGUGCAUGCAGCAGAAUUUGUCACCGGAGAUCAAGCAGCUAGCAAAAUCCACCACGGGUAAGCUCAAUGAACGCAAGGCCGCCGUGGACAGAGAAAGAGCCGGCGCCGAGUCCGAGCUGUCGAGGGCGCGCGCCAUGGCGAAGGAGCUGGAGCGCCAAAUCGAGCAGGCCAAGGCCAGGGCGUCGUCCAAGAGGUCCGAGCCCCACGCAUUUCGGGCGACCAGGGCAAGCAGGAAGGGACCGGAGGAUGCGCGGAGCUCGCAGUCGCAGGAGGAGCGCGACGCUGCCGAGUACGCGGAGGUGUCGCGGGAGCUGGACCGUGCCAGGCGGGAGCUGCUCAGGCUGCGGCUGGAGGUGAAGGCCGCGGCGGAGGCCAAGACCAAGGCCGAGAGCGACAUCGUGGCGUCGGCGAUAAACAUCCAGUCCAACCUGCGCGCCGCCGACGAGAUGAAGCGGCUGGUGGACGAGGCGAACGAGGAGCACGUCCUGGUGGAGCUCGCGCGCAUCGAGGCCGAGCGGGAGCACCGCGAGAUCGACGCCCAGCGGCGCGCCGACGCCGAGCGGUUCGCCGGGGAAAUGGAGGCCACCAGGGCCAAGAUCGAGGCGCUGCGGAAGGACGUGAGCCGCGCGCGGGAGAUGGAGGCGAAGCUCGCCGUGACGAACGCCGACGUGGAGGUCCUGCAGGCCGAGAUGGAGCUGGUCCGCGCCAUGGAGAGGAACAGUGUCAAGAACGACGACACCGCGGGUGCGGAGGCUGAGGACAAGGCACUGCUGCAGACUGCGGAGGCCGAGCUGGACGCGGCCAAGAAAGAGCUGGAGAGCAUCAAGGCCGGGAGCUUCCAGUUCAUGACGUCCAUGGACAGCGCGCGCACCGAGAUCAUGCGAGUGUCCGAGGAGGUGAACCGGCUCAGGGAGCAGGAGAAGAAGGCGGACGCGCAGGUGCAGCAGCUGAACGCCAAGCUGCUGAAGGCGAGGGACCGGUUGGAGGCCCUCACGGCGACUAACGAGCGGUCCAAGGCGAUCGUUUCAAGCAUGACGUCGGCGCUGCAGCAGCUGCGGGACGAGAAAGAGGCGGCGAGGAAAGAGGAGGAGCUGACCGAGCUUGAGCAACUGUGCGUGCGCGCCGAGACCGAGAACGUGAACGCCGAGAUCGCCGUGACCGAGGCACGGAUACAGCAGUCCGUGAAGGAGCUCGAGGCGGCGAAGGCGGCCGAGGCCAAGGCGAUGAAGAAGCUCAAGGCCGCCGUGGAAGGCACAAUGCGGGCGAGGGCGUCACAGGGGUCGCGGACCAUAACCAUCUCGCGGUUCGAGUACGAGUACCUGAGCGGGCGCGCGGCGCUGGUCCGCGUGGUGGCCGAGAAGAAGGUGUCCGCGGCGCAGGCGUGGGUGCAGGCGAUCAAGGCAGGCGAGAAGGAGCUGGCGGCGCGCGCGGAGGCCGCGGAGCGCGUGACAGCCGAGCUGCGCGCCAGGGAGGCCGAGGCGGCGGCGGAGGCGGAGAGAGCGGCGGGCGAGCAGAAGGCGCUGGAGCAGGAGCUGUACGACCUGAACGCGGCGGCCGAGCGGGACGGACUGCUGUGCGCGUACCCGCGGCGGCGGUCGACCAGGGUGUCGGCGACGAUGCGGAGGGCGAGGGCGCGGCGGUCGUCCGUGUCGUCAUCGGCGGGGAUCCGGAACCCGCGGACGCCGUCGUUCACCAUCAAGAGGAAGAAGAAGGUGAUGCCCAGCCUCUUCAAGCUCAUCAAGCAGAGGAAAGACAACAGCGCGAGAUGAAUGCGCCUCGCGCCCUCGCCAGAGAAAAAAAUGCAUUUGUCAGCUUUGCUGCUUGUUCAUGUCGUGUCAGGCUCGGCGUCGCUGCGGUGCAAAAUGUACAAAAUUGGCCGUGCUCCCAAAAUUCCAAAAAUUUAUAAUAUUUCUUAUCACAUCGAGUCUUUAGACGCAUGCAUGAAGUAUUAAAUAUAGAUAAAAAAAUAACUAACCACAUAAUGGAAAUCACGAGACGAAUAUUUUAAGCCUAGUUAGUCAAUGGUUGAAUAAUGUUUGUCAAAUACAAACGAAAGAAAGUACUAUAGUGUCAAACUUCAAAAAAAUAUUGCAUCUAGAUAAGACCUUAGCAAUGGAAGCCAUAAAAUAUAGAAAUUCUACCGUGUCUCACAACUGUAAUUUUACUUGAUCCGCAUCAAAAUAGUCUGUGAAUCUAUGAUCCAGCGGUAAGCAGGACAAUAUGUUAACUCACAGAUAACGUAUCAAGCUUCAAGAAAUAUUGGUUUGUUCAAUCUGGGAAACGCAAAAUGAUGCUAUUUUCAGAAAUAUUGCUCCUUCUAUCCAGAACUUCAAGAGGAUUUUCAAAAGAUAAUUUGCUUGAGGCAUUGUUUAGUUCACUCCAAAAACCAAAAAAGUUUCAAGAUUCCUCAUCACAUCGAAUCUUGCGGCACAUGCAUAAAGCAUUAAAUAUAGGUGAAAGCAAUAAUGAAUCUAACUUUGGACCAUCAAAAAGGUUUUUUUUUUUCUAAUUCUACUUUUUUCUGUUUGACUACUCUAUAUUAAAAUAACACCAUUUGCUCUUAAAAUUGAAUGUUUAUAGGCAAAGAAGUGGCUCAAAUUAGCCCGAAGUAUUUUUCACACAUAGAACAACAUGUGAUGACUAAGGAUAAAAUCAAGUUGAAACCCACACCGAAGAAGCAAGGGCUAGGUGCAAAUGAUGCUAACACUUCAAAUGUGUUACUUGACAGCCCCUCCAUGAAUACUAGAAGCAAAAAAAAAAAAAAAACACAACUACCUAGUCCUGCAAUGAGUACAAGAAGCAAAAGAAGCCUUAGCCUUAGAUUUUUGAAAUGCAUGUUCUCUCAUAUGUGAUGCCAUGUACUACAUGUUGACAUGGCUUGGUUAAUGUGAACAUAUGUGAACUUAUACAUCUUGUUUACUUUAUGUGUGCACUUUGUUCAUGUAUGACCUCAACCUACUUAAUGUUACAUCCAUUGAUUUGUCAUGAUUGUGUAUGUGUGCACUUGGAUUGCAACUGUGGAUUUCAUGUGCAUUUCAAAUGGUCAGUGUUAUGUAUGUCAUGUGCAAAUAUAGAAAAAAUAAUAAUUCUAUGCUUGAAAAUAUAUCGUAUCUUAUUUUUAAAAAUUAUUGAUAGUAGGCAGCCUAAAAGACCUAUGUGGGUGAUUGUUGUACUGUUGCCUUUAGCAUCAAGGGAAAAAAGGGCAAUUUUGCAUAUAGGUUAACACUGUUUGAGCCUCAAACUAAUAGAAGAGCCAAUAAAGCAAUCAAAAAAUGUUUUAGAGCCAAAUAAGGCAAUUCAAAACAAAAGGAAACACAACUUUUUUAGGACUUAGCUCACAUCCUCCAUCAUGUUAUCAAGUAGAGCAUUCUUAGGUCAUAAUAAGAAAGUCAUAGGGAAGAAGAAAAGGGUCGUCACAGCCAUUGUUGCGGCCUGUGACGUAGCUAUUGUUUUGUGCCCCUUCUCUUUUUGCCCGUGGUUAGCUAGCUCUUCUCUUCUUCCCCAUGGUCAAUGUCUGGCGGUUGGCAUCCUUCUCUUCUUCUAUAAGAACAAGUAUAAUAGUAGACUGUAAGCUAAUUAAAUUUUGAGAUGGGGGAGGGAGAGUAAAAGUGGGUUGUAAGCUUAGAGCUGGCUCAAGCAUAAGAACCAUGGAAGUCUAUGAGAGAGACAAGUAUGUCAUGUAUUAACAGUGAUGAGCUAACAACUAUAUGAGUAGACUGCAAGAAAUGCUACAAAGAAAUUUUACAACCAGCGAUCGGUUAUAUUUUUAGCCUUGCUCUAAGGCUGGCGGCCCUUCUUCUUUUACCUCAUAAUCCACAAAUUCCAAAAGGUAAUUUAAUAGUUAUCUAAACAAUACGGAGUAGAAUUUAAAUCAUGCCCUUGAACCUAAUGUAAUUUUAUGUCCUUGAAUAUCUACGUAUGAAUAAAUCUUAAGAAAAUUGCUCCUAAAAUUCAUUUAUUUUUAAGGGUUUACCUCUAUAAAAUUUUACAUAUUGCAGUGGAUUGACACCAUGUGUCAUUAUCAUACCACCAAUCCCGUGUAUGAAGACUGCCUUUGGGCAUGUUUCCAUUUUGGUCAAAGACAACACGCUCAAGGUGCUCUCCUCUCCUCUAAGAUCGAAAUUCCUACUCCCUCUGCUGCCGAAUAAAAAAUCAAUUUCGUAUAAUCUGUCUAAAUCAAAUUAUCUUGAGUUUAAAUUAGAUUAAUUUUAUUUUAUAGAAAAAAGUAGCAACAUAUAAAAUAAACAUAUUAUAAAAAUAUAUUUUAUGAUAUAUCUAUUAUCUAAUGAUAUUUAUUUGAUAUGAUAAAUUUUGAUGAUUUUUUAAAAUUCAGUUAAAAUAAAAAAUCGAUUUACGAUAAUUCUUCUAUUUAUUGGGGGAAAAGACACGCGAUACAAGGAAAAUCCUCGCCAUGACGACGCGGUCGUAUGUGGUCUGGGUCCCACCAAUUCUACAAACCCGUCGUGUUUCCCACGUGGCCGCCACUCGGUUCACCAAAGCCGGGCACGGACCAUUGUUUAGUUAAAAAAAAUUUUGCAAAAUUUUUCAGAUUCCCAGUUACAUCGAAUCUUUAGAUACAUGCAUAAAGUACUAAAAAUAGACAAAAAUAAAAAUUAAUUGCACAGUUUGGUCGGAAUUGACGAGACAAAUCUUUUGAGCCUAGUUAGUCCAGGAUUGGACAAUAUUUGUCAAAUGUAAACGAAAAAGCUACAGUGUCUCUUUUGUAAAAUAUUUUAGAACUAAACAAGCCCCAAACCGGCGAGGAAAGAUGGGGAACGACAGAGAACACACCAGAACCGAGGAUCCCAACUGCCGAGGCCGAGCGAGCGAGCCAGACCGAUAUCAUGCGGCUGCCGCACGCCUCCGACCUCCGCGCCUUCCUCGCGGCUGCCGCCGUCGCGCACCUCUCCUCCUCCAGGGCCUCCCGCGCCUCCCCGUGCGCGCCCCCGCCACCUCCGCGGUUCUGCGCGUUCGCCUCCUCCCGCGCCUCGCCGCCGCCCUCCUCGCCCUCGCAAACGGGAGCAGUCGCCUCCGCCUCCGCCUCCGCCUCCGCCGCUGCCGCCGCCGCCGCCGCAGCAACCUGCGAGCAUGUGGUGGAGAAGCCCGCUAUAUGCACGGCCGACGAGCUGCACUACGCGCCCGUUCCGGGCACCGAGUGGCGGCUCGCGCUCUGGCGGUACCGUCCGCCGCCUGAGGUGAUGAGUCAAUAGUGAUAGCUGCUUCUGUGCGAGUGUGAUUGGUGGUGCUUCGUUGGGGUUUUCUGGUUGCUGAUUGUGCUGGUUUGGUUUGCACAGGCGCCGAAGAGGAACCACCCGCUGAUGCUGCUGUCUGGAGUGGCCACCAACGCCAUUGGGUUCGACCUGUCCCCUGGGGUGAGUGAGCUUGUCCAUAAUGGAGUUAUUGGUGUGGUGUUUCGUGUGUCGAUAAACUAAGUGGAUACUUGUUUUCUGUGAACAAAAUUUGUCAUGAAUUAGGAGUCGCUAUGAAUCAAGAGAUUGCUCAUAGAGAAACUGGCUUUGUUUAAUGCUUCCAAAUGAAGACUCGGCUGGUGUUCCCAAAAAAUAGCAGGGAAAAUCAAAUAAGGAACAUGUGGAACUUUUUUAGUUCUGAAUUCAGAAGUAGCUUAGUUCUGAGCAAACAAAAUGCUAAUGAGAAUACAUUGAUACCAUGUGCUUGGGCAAUGGGGCAUAGAGCAGAUCAACCAACAAGAUAGUGACACAACUCCAAAACGACAAAAGUUCAUAUGUACUCCUUCUGUUCCAAAUUGUAGUUCACUUUGGCUUUGUCCUAAGUUAAACUUCUCUAAUUUUGACAAAGUUAUUAGAAAAUAUAUCAACUUCUACAAUGUCAAAUAGAUGUUCUAUCAGAACAUAUAUUUCAUGAAGAAUCUAAUAAGACUAAUUUGUUAUUUUAUAUGUUGGUAUUUUUUUUCCUAUAAACUCGGUCAAAGUUAAAGAAGUUUGACUUAGGACAAAACCAAAGUGAAUUAUAAUUUGGAACGGAAAUGUAGCUAGUAUGGAAUGUAGUGAGAGUAAGAAAUAUGCAGCACACUGAACUAUAUCAGAAAACAAUGAGCAUUUUCUUGUGUAACUGAUAGUAACUAUUAUCAGAGUUUGGAUGCUAUUGGCAAAACUUUUCCCUUGUGAAGUAUCAACUUGCCAGCUAUAUAGCAGUGAUGAAAAUCAACCUUGUACAACAACAUGCCAGUUAGUUUUCUUUUGUGUACUUUUAGUGUCCUAGUGGUUGUGCAUGUAUGUUAUUGCUCUUCUACUUCUACAACAGGAAAUGAAUUAUUUAUAAUAAUCUUAGUUUUCCUACUAUAGAACAACAAUGGUAUUCUUUUUAUGAUUUUCUUUUUUCAGGCUUUGUGUGCUCUCUGGUUACAUGUUACACUCAAUAACAAAAAAUAUGAAUUACUCCAUUCCAAAUUAUAGGUGAUUUUGGCUUUUCUAGAAAAAGCAUAUUAUCAAGCUAUGCACCUAGAGAACCAAAACGACCUAUAAUUUGGGAUAGAGGGAGUACUGUUUUCUUUGUAUUGUUGUUAUUGUUCUUGGUUAUAGUUUUUUUCAUUAUGGCUUCACUUUGACCCCUGAUUUUAAUUGAUACAUAUGAAAUGCUGUCAGGCUUCAUUUGCUCGUCAUAUGUCCAUGCAAGGAUUUGAUACAUGGAUUGUUGAAGUGCGUGGUGCUGGCCUGAGCAUGCGUGGAUCAGAACUAGCUGCAGCUAACACCAAGUCUGACAUCACCCCUGGUCCUAAUUUGGAUGAAAGUUCUACAACAAAAGCAAUUGUUGCUAUUCCUGCUGAGAAUAUGUUCACUUCUCAACAUCAAAUUUCUGAAGUUCCAGUAAUAGCAGAUAAGAACAUGGUAGGAACAAGUAUAUCAGAAGAACCACAGCUGGUGACAAAGUUGGCAAAUGCUUUGGCACAAUUGGGUGAAAUAUUCUCUGGUUAUGUAAAAGAUAGCCAGCUGAAAAACAUAGCUGACAGUUUUUUUGAUCGAGUGUCAGAACUUGCUCCCGAUGCCUCCUUAGCUAGCCUUGAGGAGGUUUCAGAAAGAAUUUUAGGUUUAUUGGAAUUGCCACAGACAUCAGUGAUAUCUGAUCAAAUUAGCAAUUUAAGUCAGCGCCUUGUGAAGAUUCUGGGGGAAGGCCAACAAAAUGUUUCCCCUAAGCUGUUUGGCUGGCAAGAACGCCUCUCCGCAACCAUAGAAGAUCUGCAGAAACAAUUGGAGCUUAUUAUAAGCUAUGAUUGGGACUUUGACCAUUAUCUGGAGGAGGAUGUACCUGCUGCGGUUUGUAGACAUUCUUCAUGUAUACUAGUCAGAUGGUACCUUGGAAACCCCUUUAAGAAGCGUGCAAUUUUUUUUGUUUGUUCAGAUGGAUUACAUAAGAAAACAGAGUGUACCCAAGGAUGGCAAAUUGCUUGCCAUUGGUCAUUCCAUGGGAGGAAUCUUAUUGUAUGCGAUGGUUUCAAAGUGUGGUAUGUUUUGUUGACAUUUCUCCUUUUCUCCUCUUACAUAUCUAGCAGUGCUGGCAAAGUUUUUCAUUUAAUUGAAAAGAAGGUAUGUUGUCAACUAGUAAGGCUGUAGUGUAACAAAUCAAACAUUACCUUAUCAUUGGUAGCUGUGGAUAUUAUCACAAGCACAUAAAUGACUGCAAAUUUUAUUCAUCUUGAUACCGAGAUCUGGAACCUCUAGAAACUUUCCCUGGUGUAUAUGUUUGACCAUUGUGUAAUGCAUACAAAUAUUAAGUACAAAGCCAAAGUCAUGCAAUCAGAAUAUAUUGCUAUUAUCCUGCCUGGCAUGCUAUUGUCACGUCUCCUAGGAUAACAAUGGUUCUACUGCAAUUAUCUCUACCACGUGACAUCCUGAUCGAUCAAAAUUGCUUCUGCACAACCGGCGAAUCCAACAAAAGCAUUAAAGCACCAUUCAUGCUAAAUCUGUCCAUUUUUUUCUCCUGAUGUUGUUUCCUUGUAAUAUUAAUAUCAUGUUACUGGAGUUAUUAAAUGAUGAAUUAUCAUCAUUCCUUUCCUUUCUUGUUCGCCUUUCCCAGUUCAUUAGUUACCUCUGCUCCCCGACAUCCAGGAGAUUAGCAAUGCUAAUUCUUUAACGUUGACUCUCAAAAAUCUUAGAAUGUCCUCUCCCUCAGAACUUGCUCCCUCCUAGAUUAAUAUCAUAUGUAAAAUGAGCACUGGUUUGGUAAUUUCCUUCUUCAAAACCAUAGCAGAGAACUAUUUGUUGGUACAUCUUUGAAAGUGGAUGAGGCAUUACUGAUAGCUUGCUGGAUGUUUGCAUAUUGCCUCUUAAAUUUGUCAGGAAUCAUCCUUGUUUAAAUAGCUUCCACUUGAAUUCUCAUGGGAUUUUCAUUCCUGGCUCUAUGUUAUUUUCAAUACAAAUUACCUAGCAUAAGAAUACCAUUUGAAUAAAAGGACCAUGUCGUCACUCUCUGAUCUAGAGCCAGUAGUUACCUUGAGCGUCACUCUCUAAUCUAGAGCCAGUAGUUACCUUGAGCGCAAUAUGUGCCAAUUUAAAUAGUAGUCUAUCAUAUUCACAUAUGAAAUGUAACUAGUUCUGUGCAGAGACCAAAUGACAUCUCUUAUCAUUGAUAGCACUCCAUCAGUUAUGUUUUCUUUUUUCAUAGUUCCAUCUUCAUUGCUUUUACAUCAGAUACCAGUGCAAUUGGUAGCUCUUCUUUUUUUGAUAUUUGUUCUGCUGAGUUUGCUUGUACAUCAGCUUGUUUAAAGUUUUGUUACCAAUAUAUGGAACUAAUUCAUCUGGUUCUGCUUCAUAAGGAUCCCAAGGGGCUGAGCCAGAGCUGGCAGCAAUUGUUACUUUGGCUUCAUCAGUCGAUUACACAACAUCCAAUUCCUCACUCAAGUUGCUAUUGCCAUUUGUAAGUUAACCAUCAAACAACUCUGACACUCCCCCCCCCCCCCUCCCCCACCCCAAAGUCAUAUGUGUAACCUAAUCUUCAUUGUAUUCUCUAUUAGGCAGAUCCAGCUGAGAUGUUGCGUGUUCCUGCUAUCCCACUAGGAGUAUUACUGUCUACUACCUAUCCUAUAUCAUCUCGUGCACCAUAUAUUCUGUCACUGCUUCGCUCUCAAAUUUCAGCCAAGGAAAUGAUGGACCCUGAACUGCUUUCAAAGCUUAUCUUGAAUAACUUUUGUAAGUAAAGGCGUAUCUUGUUGUUCGUUAUUGAAACUGUCAUGUGCUUGUUUGUAUUUAAGGUACUAGUCAGAUGAUAUUUAACUGAAAUAUAGCCUUGAAUUGUUUCACGUGAAGGUUUUCUGACUCAUUUGUUAUGUCCAUGGAACAAAUGAACGUACAAGUGUCAUAUCAGUAUUACUGAUAUCCUUUUUGCUAAGAACUUUGCAUAGAUAAUGGCGGUUAGAUCUCCUGCUGGUUGAAGAGGAAAAAAAAGAAUCUGCAUAGGCUAGCAAUACAAGCCAUUUGGCUCUUUUUAGUAAUAUCAGAGUAUCAUGUGAAGAUGUUCAUUGUAUUUUGUAUGCAUCUCCUAUACAAUUUGGUUUGUUGUAAGUAGUUCCCAGAUAUAAGAGGUCAGAUGCUUUUUUUAUGUUUGUGCUUAUGGUUUAGUUCUGAACUAUUUAUGAACAUUUGAAGGAAUAUCUAAUCUUGUGCUGUAAUAGUAAAUUUCAUUGUUGCUAAAAUGGUAAUUUUCAAAACACCUGGUUCAGUUGUGCUGUUAUGGUGACCUUUAUCAUCUAUGUUCUUAACAAUUUCCUGUCACAUACAGGCACAGUACCAGCAAAGGUUUUGUUACAGCUUACGACCGCAUUCCGUGAUGGCGGUCUGCGCAACAGGACUGGUACUUUUUUCUUCAAAGAGCAUCUGAACAAAAUCAAGGUCCCUGUGCUUGCCCUUGCUGGAGAUGAGGAUCUGAUUUGUCCCCCAGAAGCUGUUUACGGUUUGGCAACAACCUCCAUUUCUCUGUUGUUUUGUAAUAAGGAAUCCUCCUUUUUACAGUACUUAAAACAUUAAAUCCUUGUUUGGAUGCACUAUCUACCUUUGUGUUGGAGUGGAUUAGGGUGGAACUUGGUUUAAUUUUCACCCCAAUCCAUUUCAACACACGUGGGUUGAGGUAGAUACAAGUGUAUUCAAACAAGCCCUAAAGCGUGAGUGAUCGUUUUCAACCAAAAGAAUAUGCAGCUUUGUUCUGGUGCCUGAUCUAGUGCAAUGAUCAUGGUAUUAGAAUUCGUUACCUAAUUGGGCUUUUAGCCUACAAGCUGACAACCUAGGACUAAGGUGCUACUGUGUUAGCUCAUAGCACAGUUUCAAAAACCAGAAUGGGUGGUGGCUUUAGCCAAAUGCCUGAUGCUCAUAGAUUCUAUCCUUACUUGAUAUUCUUUCUGAAUCCCUUUAGAGAAACAACACUUAAUUUUUGUGUGUGUGUGCAGAAACUGUGAAGCUAAUUCCUCAGCAUUUGGUUACAUACAAGGUUCUCGGAGAACCCGAAGGCCCUCACUAUGCACAUUAUGACUUAGUUGGAGGGAGAAAGGUAUGUCGACAAUGAGUGGUUAAUCAGAGCUAGGAGUCCACCUUUGGUUUCUUGUACUCAUCUUCACUUUAUGGUUAUCUACUAUGCGCAGGCUGUCCAUGAAGUAUACCCAUGUAUAAUAGAGUUCCUCUCUCAACAUGACGAAGUGUCUUCUUGAGUUUUUGUCAUUCGUAUCUGUAAUUACAAUGUUCAAGACCACGUCGAAGUACAUAGUAAAAUCGCCAGAGUGGAACUAGGUAGGAUUUCUUUUUUUCACAUUUGCACGGGAUUUGGCUACCUUGGUUUCUGCCAUUAGAUAGAUGUUUCAACUCACAGAUUGUCAUUCUUACUCCCCACAGGCCAUAGCAGGAGAAGCACUGCGGGGACGAACCUUGCUGGUUGCUGGCACCUCGGUGAAACCUUAAGAGCCAAUGUAUGUAUGUAGUUGAAUUCGAGGUUGCAAACGUAGUUCGAACUACUCUUGAAGGACUCGUGUGAGUGGCGUGGUCAUAUGCAUGUUUCAGCGAGUGGACAGUAAAAGGAUUCAUUGGAAGGACCCUCGGACUGUAUGAGAUGAAUUCAGUGUAGGUGUAGCUGUAAUUGCACGAUGCCGCUCACCGGCAGCAGGUCUAUGACUCUAUGUGGCAGUUCCGCAAGAAAAAGAGAGCAUCAAAGAUGAGGUCUCUUCUUGUCAAAAAAAAGUAAAGAAAAAAAAAAGAUGAGGUCUCUGUCAGUCCAAGUGCACGCUGCACAGACCAACGUAGGUUCCACCUGCCCAAACAGAGGCCGGGCUCGCAGCAUGCAGAGCUCGCCCGGACGCUGCCUCGGCCGAGCUCGCACGCGUGCUGUUGUUGCGCUGGCCGAGCUCCUCUGCACGCCGCAGCCGGCGAGACCGCAGCCAGCCAGCCACCCACUUCGCCAGUCGCGCUGCUCCUUGCACACGCAGGUGUAGCGGCGUUUGUGUCAGGAGUUGCUAUAGACAGGCGCAGGCCUGUUGGUCUAGGCUUAACGGCCAUUGCUGCGGCCUAAGGUUGGCAGGGAGCAAAGGCCUGUUUUGAACUUUUGAUAGACAACUUAGUAUAUAUUGUAUAGUUUAAUGAAGGCAAAAUAUUCAGUGCAAAUUUAAUGAAUUAUUGAUCUUUCUAAAAUAGGCUAAAUUAGACACCAUUUUGAAUCACCUGUUUAGAACCCCGAGAGCUGAAACCAUGAGAUCCAAACAGAGCCUAGAUACAUUAUGAAAGCAAAGGCUCGUCCUAACUGUUACUGCAAAACCUUUUCCUAAUCACCCUAGAUAAGAGGGUAUCAGAAUCCAUAGUUUGGUGGAAAAUGAACAAAACGUGGCAUUUUUUAUCUGCGAGAUGCAACGAAUGGAUUGUGUUUAUACAAUAAUAAUAUAUAUAACGGGCUGUACAGGACAAAAGAAUUUGCCGUUUCCACCAAGAUCUACCGACGCCGUGCCUGGAGUUUGGAUUUCAAUUCUUGCUAACGGCAGUCUUGCAAACUGGGCAAGUGUUUUUCUGAGAGAGCCACUGCUUGAUGCAGUAGACAUGGUAGCUAUGGCCACAGUCUAGCCUUCCCAUCUCUUCAUUUGCUUCGAAUUCUUCCUGCAAAGUACAAUAUAAAUCAGACUAGUUUUAAGAUUGAACCACAGGGUACUAGCAGAAAGAUCCAUGGAAUCCUGUUUAAAGAAAUGGAGGUAUGGGCAUACUUGGCAAAUACUGCAUUUCCUUUCCAUUUCUGUUGCGAACCGGAAGGAACUGAAGGAUGGGUGCUUGACCUUCUUAAGGUUGCGAGUAAUCUCAUCCUCCCGUAACCCUGUGUUGACGUAUCCAAUUUUGUCUUCAAGCUCGAGCAACUCCUGCAAAGCAAAGUGUCUGAUCAUCGACUGAUGGCACAGGUCAGACGUAGAUACUCCCUCCGUUCCAAAUUAUAAGUUAUUCCAAGAAUCUUGGAGAAUCAAAGCAUUUUUAAGUUUGACCAAAAAUAUAGAGAGAAAUAUAAAGAUUUAUGUCAUAAAAUAGGUAUACUAUGAAAAUAUAACUAACAAAGAAUCUAUUGAUACUUGGUUGGUACCCAAAAUGUUAUUAUUUUGCUAUAUAAAUUUGGUCAAACUUGAAAAACUUUGACUCUCCAAGAUUUUUGGAAUAACUUAUAAUUUGGAACGGAGGGAGUACAACAUAAGGGGUACAUACCUCGUAUGUCAUGUUAUCAACGUCAAGGCGCCAAUCCUGGUAGCGAUCAUACAUGUUCAUUCCUCCCAGUAACACUCUUGUCUGAAACAUCAUUAUCUACAAACAUAAGGAAAAACGAGAAAUAAGAAACUGCUGGGAAGUUUAAGUGAUUUGACAACUGGAUGUGAUGUCUAAGGAGCAGAUUACAAUUACAUCAUUAUUAUCCACUUCAGCUAGUAAACAUUGUCCAUGCAUUAUACUCUUCAUUGCAACCAAAGAUGAUUUUCAUUUGUAUAAAGUGCAGACUGAAGUUCAAGAGUGCCAUAAACCAGCCAACUGAACAUAUGCAUGACAUCUUAAUGGCUGGAUAGAAAUGUUCAUAUCUAUGUUUUCAGUUCAAGUUAGUCUGUAAGAUUAUAUCUUAGUAGGUUCCUAUAGGUAGAAAUAUGUAGGAAUUUAUGGUGCAGAAAGUGGGGAAUGGGUGAAUUCAAGAUCAUCGCUUGGGGACAAAUACUAUCAUGACAUCACAUGAAGCACUUGCCAGAAAACUGUAACUAUUGCAACCUUUAUUUGUCAAUGUUGGGGUACUAUGUCCACUCUACAAUAUGCUAUUAUCAUGGUCAAUGAAAGGCAGAGACAGUACGAAAUAUGGCUCCACAGACCAUUGUUUUGGAAAAAAAAACUACAAGAUCAAAAUACACAAAAGGGCUAGUGAGCAAAGCAACUGUAGAUCAAUUCACUUUCAUCUAUCUACACUAUAAUAGGAAUCUGUUAAUCAGGUUAGGAAAUGAAACCUAAGUAGAUUAACAGUGUGUUCCAAUAUUUGUUAAUUGGCGCCUGCACAGACCGACAAUGCUUGUGGAUCUUGGUAUUGAAUGAUUUAGGUAGGGGCCAUCACUAGGCAGGUGUCCACCUAGAAGGAAUGACUACAACUCCUGAUCUGAUUAUGACUGAAGCAACAGGAAAAUGAUAAAAGGCAUGAAGGGUUGGUCCCCAUAAGCAGACAGAAAAUAAUAGUUCGUCCAGAAGGGCAGGCUUGGCACUAAAUCACAAAUGGUUAACUGCUAGCACCACCCAACAGGCAUGUUGAAACAUGCCUGUUCCUUCCUUAAACAUACUGUACGAUCCACCAGAACAGUAUGCCAAAAGAGAAUCGCGCCAGGCCGUAAUUGUAAGGUGUUCCACCACUUCCAAGAGCACAACUGACCAUUUUGCCCAGCUCAGCAUGGAGAAUCCAGUAUUCAUACUUGUCAUUGGCGUUGGAAUGCACAGGACUAAACCUCACUACGGUUGCGAGGUCUCUUUCAAUGGCCACAUUACCCUUUGUUUCAUUCCUUCAUCAACUGCAGUUAUCCUAAGACUUAAAUCAGCAGGAGCUCUACCUGACAUCAACUGGUCCCAAGGACAUGAACAAUGCCACGUAUUUCUAGAAGUCAUCUAAAUAACAGGAAAUAGCCACAUCAAACCAACGGUAAGGUCUAUCUUCUCUAUCUACAUAAGGAAAACAUAUUUUGAAGGUGCUUAGAUGGCUGUAUUUGCAUAUGUGCCUCUUAGGCACAGGAGAACAGUGAAGCACACAUGCUGUGAAAUACUACCUUUGCAACUCCAACAUAGACCUAUGUCAAACUAUCUCAGGUUUGACCGAAUUUCUAUAACACCACCAAAUAGUAGGUAUCAUAAGAUUCAUUAUGGCAUACUUUUCUACAAGUUUGGUCAUUUUUUUAAAAAUAGCUCGACUAAGAACAAAGCUAGACAUGCAUUCUUUUUGGGACAAAGGUACUAAGCAGCUAAUCUAUUCUGGCUAUAAAAAUUCUCUCUGUGUAAUCAAAUUCUGCUGCUACACACCUCCAUUGUUGACACCCUAAUAUAGAUGCUCAUGACAAUACCACUACCCACUGGGUCACGGCUGCAACCACCGGUAAUCAUUGUGCCUGUCAAGGCACCGGUUGAGUUAACAAUCUAAGGAAGGCAGCCAUCUCACGUCACGUUUAGCGCACGAAAGGAGCAAGUCAACCACUUCCAACUCCCCACCCAGCCGCCCAGAGGCGUUACCAAACCGCGUAGCAGUCACAGUUACCACGCACGCAUCACACGCAGAAACAUGUCAGAUGAUCACGCCCUUAACGACCCUGCCCUACGCACCAACCGCUGGAGUCGGCGGGGCAUGGAAUGGAUGCGGUUGAUGUGUGUAAGCAAUCGCGAGAUGAAGAGAGGCAGAGAGCAAAAGCGUCUGUAUGCGUGCAAUGCAGUGUGCCGUACCUCUUCCUCGAGGCCUCCGGGGGAGUGGCGGUACCCACGCAUCCGGCGGAGGCGGCCGGAGGGGAUGAGAUCGGCGCCGAAGAAGGGAGCGUCGAGGUGCGGCGGCGGCGGCGAGUCCAUGAAGGACGAGGAUAUCUGCUCCUGCAUGGACGCCCUCCGGGACAGGCACGGCCGCUGUUCAGGUGAGAGCUCAUCAAUACAGGCAGUAGAACAUGGCAAAGAUUCCACUUGCGUACAUUAUAGAAAUUAAUUAAAAUAAAACAAUUCACGAGUCCAGAGAACAAAGAAGAACCAAACACAUUGACCCUUUGAACAAGUAUUGACGACCGUCCGUAAUCACAGUUGUCGAGAUUAAAUAUGGGGAUUAAUGGCAUUAAUCAAAUUCGGAAGGGGACCAGAAAUGCUGUGAACCUGACAUAAAGCACGCAACGAUCCCAGAAGAAAAGAAAAAGAGAAUAAUUAUUUUAUUUUAAACAAAAGAACGGCCCCCCAGCCACAGCCACAGUGAACGAAGGAACCCUUUCGAAACGAACGAAGGAAAUCUGAGCACGAACAGAUCGAAGCAAGCAAGUGGCAGCAGAAGCGAGGAAUCCGUGGACACACACACCUCUCUGUGGGGCCUGUCGCCGUCGGCGCCGCGGCCACCGCCCCUCCCCACCAUCUGGUGGCGCGCCACCACGCAGUCCACCGAGGACGCCUCCGCGGCGAAGGGUAUCCCGGGCGCGCACCACACGUCGGCGCCGAUCCCCCCGGUGACGAAGCCUCCGCCUCCUCCUCCUCCUCCCCCGCCGCCCGCGCCACGGUCCUUCCUCCUGUCCUUGCCCCUCCGCCGCCGACGCCCGCCGUGCCAGUCAGCCGACGACCGCACGGCCGUCGCCGCCGCGGCCGCCCCGGGCGCGUACGCCUGCGACGCCGCCGACGACGCGCAGCCCAGGCCGCGCAGCGCCGCCGACGCGAACCCCUUACGCCUCCCCUCCUCCUGCGCCGGCACCGGCGGGCGCGGGGGAGGCGGAGGCGAGGACGAGGAGGCCUCGCCCCGGGGGUGCAGGAGCAGGCGCCGGAUCCCCCGCCGGCGCUCCGCCGUCGGCGAGCGGUCACGCGGCAUGGCGCGCAGGGGGGCGGGGGCGUGGCUAGGGUAGGCUAGGCGUCGCCUUCCCUCCCCUGGCCCCUGGCUUGCUCGUCUCGUCGGGCCCGGAGGUGGCUGAGGGCCGGCAGUAAUGGUGGCGGUGUGGUGGAAGAAGCGACGGCCGGCGGAGGUCUGCGGCGUAGUAGCAGCGCGUGGCGUGGGGUGGAAGACCAGUGUCCAGAGGAGAAGUAGGGGUGGGGGUGGUGGACUGGUGGGCCUGGGGGAGUCGGAGCACGAGGCAGGCAACGCGAUGGCCGAUGGAUGAGAGGUGUGGUAAAUUCUUGUCCCGGAUUUGGUGCGGCGCAGGAUUUGAGGCGAUGGGCGGAUGUUCUUAUAGCUGUCUCCAACGACACACCCAUUUGGAAACCCAAACUUAAAAUGGGUCUCCAACACAAUACCUAUAGCCUCCAACAGAGUACCCAUACAGAAGACCCACUUUUGUAUCAGGAGAGCCAUAACCCAAAUUUGGGUAUCCUCUCUCUUCGAGACCCAUUUGCAGAGAGUGUUGUCUUUUAGGUCUUGUGGUUGGAGAAGACUAAAAAUAGAUAUAAAACCUUUUAACUGUAGCGCUACCCAAAGGAUAAAUAGGUCUUAUAUUUUGGAUGACGAUUGUUGGAGAUAGUGGUGAGAUCUCCAAGCCCUCAAAAACGGUCAGGUAAAAUGCUUUAAAAAAUGGAGUGGUUUGUACGCAGAAAUGUGUGUGCGGAGUAGUACUCAUAGUACUAGGCCUCGUUUACUUCUCAACAAAUUUUACAAAAUUUUUUAGAUUCCUCGUCACAUCGAAUCUUUAGACAUAUGCAUGAAGUAUUAAAUAUAGACAAAAAUAAAAACUAAUUGCACAGUUUGGUCGGAAUUAACGAAACGAAUCUUUUGAGCCUAGUUAGUCCAUGAUUAAACAAUAUUUGUCAAAUACAAACAAAAAAGCUACAGUGUCAAUUUUGUAAAAUAUUAUGGAACUAAACAAGGCCUAGGCCUUGUUUUCGAAAACUGAAAAGUUUUUGCAACCGUAGCACCUUUGUUUUUAUUUGAUAAACAUUAUUUAAUUAUAGAGUAACUAGGUUUAAAAGAUUUAUCUUAUGAUUUAUAGAUAAACUGUGUAAUUAGUUUUUAUUUUCGUCUAUAUUUAAUACUGCAUGCAUGUGGCGUAAGAUUCGAUGUGACGGGAAAUUUUAAAAAAAAAUUGGUUUUGAGGGUGAACUAAACAUGGCCCUAGUGAGAGUACGGUGUAUGCUACGCGUGUACCGCGUAUUUUUUUUCCUUCUCACGGUCACGGAGUGGUAUACAGUAUUUAGUGGCAAGAGUAGAGUACAUUCCUUCCUUUAAUUCCGAUAACGUCAGUACUAGUGUACUGCUGCUGCUUGUGCUUGUGAAGCCAUCCGAGAAUCCGAGCAGUCGGAUUGGGCCAUGCAUGCAUUCGUCACGCAAUGUGACGGUCACGGUAGUGAUGAGGCGAUGAACGGGCCGGGUCCGGGUCCAUCCGUGCAUCCAUUUAGGCCUUGUUUAGUUCCGUCUAAAAUCCUAAAAAUUUUCAAGAUUUCUCGUCACAUCGAAUCUUUAGGCACAUGCUUGAAGUAUUAAAUAUAGACAAAAAUAUAAACUAAUUGUAUAUUUUAGUCAAAAUUUACGAGACGAAUCUUUUAAACCUAGUUAGGCUAUGAUUGAACAAUAAUUACCCCGAACAAACGACAGUGCUAUAGUGUCAUUUCAUCUACGAACUAAACACGGCCUUAUUUAUGACACUCCACCACAAAGAUCUGUGGAGCUCAAGGACCAUGUGUGCCAGGAGAUCGGGACUUGGGACUUGGGAGGGAGGCAGGGGCACAUCAGUUUUUCCCAUUUCCCGUCGGAGGGCCAGGGCCAGGACGCCAUGUGGACACGUACCAUCGAUCUCUGCCUCUUUUGGUGGUGAUGCUUUGCUUGUGCAAGCUCGAGGCCAUGGCCAUCCUCUUGUCUCUGUCAGGGUCUGUUUAGAUUGGGAAUAAAAAAAUUUUGGAUGCCACAUCAGAUGUGUCGGAAGGAUGUCGGGAGUGGUUUUUAGAAACUAAUAAAAAAACAAAUUACAUAGCUCGUCAGGAAACUGCAAGACAAAUUUAUUAAGCAUAAUUAAUCUGUCAUUAGCAUAUGUGGGUUACUGUAGCACUUAAGGCUAAUCAUGGAGUAACUAGGCUUAAAAGAUUCGUCUCGCGAUUCUCAACUAAACUGUGUAAUUAGUUUUUUUUAUCUAUAUUUAAUGUUCCAUACAUGUGUCCAAAGAUUCGAUGAGAUGGAUGAAAAAUUUUUAGGUAGGAAACUAAACAGGGCCUAAACAGUCACUGACGCAGUGUGCUGUCAACACACUGGCACGGGGGGCAUGAGUACGCAUAUCCCAACAUUUUAUAACCAUCACAAGAAAUUUAGAUUUCGUCACUGUAGCACUUUCGUUUGUUUGUGAUAAAUUUUAUCUAACCCUAGACUAAUUAGGGUCAAAAGAUUCAUCUCACGAUUUACAGAUAAACUGUGUAAUUAGUUUUUGUUUUUGUCUAUAUUUAAUACUUCAUGCAUGUGCCGCAAAAUUCGAUGUGACAGAGAAUCUUGAAAAAAUUUGUAAACUAAGGGGGUGUUUGGGACUGCUUUGCUCCACAUUUUUCAGCUCUGCUCUAUGUUUUUUAGCCAAACGGUUUCAGCUCCACGCACUUAGUUCGAGGAAAAAGGGUGGAGUUGUGAGAGCACCUAAAGAGGUACUCCACAAACUCCAGUUUUUUAUGGAGCUACUCUACAGUGGAGUUUGUGAAGCAGAGUUUGUGGAGCAGUCCCAAACACCCACUAAACAAGGCCAUCAGCGGGCCAUCAGCUGGUAGUACUCCUAGUAGUGUCAACACGGGCGGUGGCACAGCGGCAGCACGCCGCUCCGCACAAUCGUUGUCCGCCUUGGAUCCUGCGAUGCUGCCAAUUUGCUCAUCUGGUGUGCGCAGUAGUAUAAAAAAAAGAUGCAUGCAGCAUUAACAUAAAUAAAUAAAUAAAUAAAUCAAUAAAUAAAUAAACUACUCCUAGUCAGUCAAAGGGAACAAAUGCUCACCUGGCAAGUCCUCAACUUGCUCCUCCUUUUUCGUCCGCGUCUGCUCCUUUAUUUUUUUCUACUAUAAUAAUAUGCAAUAAUAUCAUGCAUGGAGAGAGCAGAGACAAGACGAGGUCCCCGUUAACAGGAGAAUCUGUACGUUUCCUACUCGAACGAAACAAAUCUCCGGUCUGCGAAUCUGACGACUCACCCUUCACCCGCCGCAAAUCCAACCCUUCCAAAUCGUCGUCUGACGUCGCAAGUGGAUGCCUGCGCGGAAAGUUUCCAGGCCACCUCCUGUCUAAAUUCUUGAUGAAAAUUGCUCUGAACUGGCGCGCGUGAUUUCGCGAUCACGAGCAGUUUUACCUGUAAUCACCCGCCCUGGAUCUCCUCCGGUGUUACGGGAGCUGGGGGGGUACUCUACGCUACUACGCGUGCCUGCCCUGCUGGAGUGGCCACUUGCCGGCUUGCGCUUGUCCUCUUUGGUUUUGGCCCCCUCUCCCCCUCUUGGAUCUUGGGUCUUGCUAUGCUGCCGCGGGCUGGUCUGGUGAAGCAGAAAGCCAGAAGAAGCGCCGGGCAUGGGCCAUGGCUAUAUAGCUCAUCAGAUGAGACAUCAGACAUGAGGCGACGAAAGUCCAACGGCGGAGCGCCCUUCUCCAGGUGAAAUAUUCUUUGCUUUUUGCUGUUGCUAGUGGACGCGCACACUACAGACGACGACGAGAGAGUCCGCGGGCGCUUUUGGCAGGCACCCCAUGGCCCAUGCGCCAUCGCCAUGCAGGAGCAAGCGCAAGCGCGAGAGAGAUGCGGUGCCCAACCGGUCAGAGGAUGCAGUGGCACUGUGGUGGACCUGUGGAUUGUCAAUUGCGGAGAGAGCGAUCGAACUGGUUUUGUUUGGGCCUUGUUUAGUUGGCAAAAACUUUGGUUUUUGGCUACUGUAGCACUUUCGUUUUUAUUUGACAAACAUUGUCUAAUUAUGAAGUAACUAGGCUCAAAAGAUUCAUCUCAUAAAUUACAGGUAAACUGUACAAUUAGUUUUUAUUUUUAUCUAUAUUUAAUGCUCCAUGCAUGCGAUCAAAAAUUCGAUGUGACGGGGAAUCUUGAAAAUUUUUACGAACUAAACAAGGCCUUAGUUCACUAAGAUUUUCCGUCAUAUCAAAUCUUAUAGCACAUGUAAGAAGCACUAAAUAUAGAUAAAAACAAAAAUUAAUUAUAUAGUUUGUCUGUAAUUUACGAGAUGAAUCUUUUAAGUCUAGUUAGUCUAUAGUUGGACAAUAAUUAUCAAAUACAAAAAAAAAUACUAUAAUAUCAAAAUCUAAAAUUUUUUCGCAACUAAACAAGGCCUUCAUUCCUGCAAUGCAAUGCAAUGCAAUCCUGCUCGUGUCGUCACAGCAUUUCCUUCUUUAUUAUUCCCUGGCUUUGGAUGCUCCAUGGCGUAAGUUUACAGACACUCCCUGCAGCGUCAGCAGAGAGCACUGACCAGUAGGAGCACCGUCGCUUGCCUUGCCUUUACCAUGCACUAGUAGAGUGGCGCGCCCUUGCGCGCCAGUGCGGACUAAGUAUAGGUUAAGAUUAAUAAGAAUGGACUUUAGAAAUAUAUAUGUUGGAUAGUAGAAGGGAAUAUACAUCAUGAUAAGACAUAAGUGGGGAGAUCACAUAAGUAUACAUGACAUAGAGUACUUAUGUGAGGGAUAGGCUAUAGAUGUAGUACAUUAGAAAGUUUAGUAAGUAUGAGUGGACUUUGUUCACUGCGUGAUAUUGCUGUUACAAAAGGUUGGCAUCACAUUGGAUUUUUUCCCCCUUUUUUCCGUUCAUGUGGUGCCGAAGGUAAGAUUGCUUAGUCUGCUUUGCAGUAACUGCGGUAUAAUUCCCAACCUGGUUCGUAGCCAUCAGAAUUGCGUUGCGGUGUAACUGUAGAAGUGUUUGUAUAAUUAUAAACAUGUUGUAUUACUUGGAUCUUAACAAUGUUGGAUGUUAAUAGAUGUAGGAAAGCAUGGAAAAGCAUUUUGUUUAUUGGAAGUAGUAUGCACGUACCAUCAUAAUCUGAAAUGUGGUUUGAUGAUUCUGUAGAAACAUAUACACAGGAUAAGUGUUGGUGUAUUGAUAAUGGUAAAUGUGUGCUGAAUUUAUGAUGGGGCAUGUACCUCUGAGUUCCGAAGUAGUUUCAUUACCGUGACGUGUUUAGUAGAAUGGACGCACCUUCGCACGCCCAGGAAGCUGCACGUUGGGGGCAAUAGAGUAAAAUUAUUCUUGAGGACACCAUUCUAUUCAUAACAGAUAACCAAAUAUAUGUGGAACUGUGUUUGUCCUCUAUAAUUUGCUCACAAAAUAGGAGAAUAAUCUGCACUACAAAUAAAAAGACCAAGCCAUAAACUAAGUAACUCCAGCUUUAUUCUUUUGCACUAUGUUAUAUUGGCACCAUAAAAUGCAAUGAGGCAAUUGUAGUCUGCAGUAUCCAAUUGGGUGUGGGGUGUGCUUCUGGGUACAUCUCCUUGAGAAAUGGGGAAGCUGCUUCAUGCUGCCAUCCUUCUAUGGCCACUAGGUUGGGGAGUGAAAAUAAAGGGUACAAUUUUUUUUAAAAAAACCGAAGGCGAUUGAGGCUUUAGGCUAUGAAAUGAAACAACCAGUUGUAUAUGUCAACCAAUAUCUCUAAAACUUAAACCAUUGAAUAAGACUUCUGAAAACAGGGCAGCAACUAAGCUGCAUCAAAAUUCAGAAAUAAAAGCAGGAAAACAAACCUUUGAAAAAUGAGUGAUUUAGCAAGUACUCAUUCAUUAAAAAAACUUCUUACAUCAGUAAUUUUUAAAGACAAGAGGUGAGGAUAAAUAGCUGAAAAUUAAAGGUGAGACAAAUCAACAGGUAAACUUUGUAGUGCAAAGCAUUCAAUAUAUAUUUAAAUUAUUGAUCUCUAAAUUUGUUGGCAACUAUACGUACUAUACCAAGUAGUGAAGGUUGAUUUGGAUGAUGAUUCGUUUACGCUACCUGGACGAUGAUUAAAUACACUUCAAUGUUUGUCAGGUGUUAAGGCUUCAUAUCCAUCUAUAUAAAAUGGACGCAAUAUAUCCAAAAGUAUGACACAACAGCUCUCUUAGGUCCAACGCUCUGAGGAACAGAGCGGUAUCAUUGAAUUUGACAAACAAAAGAACACUCAAUUUGGUAAACCAAAAGAAAACUAUGUAUCCUUUUUCUCUGGUUUGGCAACAACAGGUUAAUUGUCACUACAAAUAGGCUCUAGGAGGAACUAACUGUGGAGAAACAACCCUAUGUAUCUUGUAAGUGUGGCAAGAUCAAUGGUAAAGUUCAGAAAAACAAAGCAAAUGUUCAGAGCUAGCAAUUAUAGUAACUGGUGACAACAAUUCACCCACUAUUGCUUGAAACCAUUUAUAGUUAUCAUUCAACAACAUGAAACUCGAAAGUGAAGCUACAUGUUUUUUAAUGACUUGUAAGUUUAAAUCAUAUCAAAGCCACCCAUGCUUUAUUCUAUAAUUAUUUGUCACCGAGAAACACAGUGGCAGCAGGACAGGUAGACGACUAUUUCUGUGAGAAAUCUAUUCACAAGGAUCCAUCUCAUCAAAGCAUGAUAUGGAGGACAUAAGUUUCAUUUACAACUUGUAACAACUCAGAUCGGUCAACCAUAGCCAAUUCUUUAAAAGUAACCUCUCCAGUUCUCCCCUACACGAUAUCUAAUGACUAAAAGAAACAAAAUUUGUUGUAGAGAUGGAGCAAUCGUGUUAACCUGAUGCAAGAUCUUGGGCUUGCUGCCAAAUUCCACCAACGACUAAGACAUGCUGAGCGACCGUGGUUGUAGGCAGAUGCCAAAGCCUCUAAAAAUAAUGAGGCCUUCAUGGGUGCAGCAGUCCUCCCAACUCAGACCCAUCUACAUAGAUGAAAGAUGAAGUCAAGAUGUAACCUAAUAGUCAUUUAGAAUAUGUUGUCUGCCUUAUAUUGGCUGAGAAUAAUAUAGUUUGUAGAUGAAUGAAAAGGAAAUAUAUUGCCUAUCAAAAAUGAGUAUAUAAGCACAUGUCUGAGGGCAAAAUUAAGGGAUAUGCAUCUCAACAAUAUCGUUCUGCAUUUUUAGGUUGGUUCAUUGUCAAUACCCAUAUAGCCUGUUAAUCUCAGGUGGACCUGUUAAGUGAUUUCUUUGUUUAAAAAUACAUGUGUAUUUAUUUUAUCUAGAGGGGCCUAGAAAAUGUUUUUAUAUUUUUAUUCUUAGGGAGCCGACACUUAUUAGGGAAAACCUGUAAUGAAAGAAAUAUGACACCAUCAUAGGGAUGCUGCAAUGAAGUGAAUACAAACUGGAAAUAAAUGCACAACUUUAACUAUUUAAGCCAGAGGUCAUAAGGUAAUGGGUAUGCACCAACGGCGAAAAAAAACAUCAAGAUCGUCAUAUUAGUGGUUGUGUUGACAGGGAACGCCACCCUUUAACUGCAGCACGAAAAGGUUAGAAAUUAGCACCGACACGCUAUAGUAUUCAGUGACAAAAAAUAAUGAAUUAUUUAGGUAUAGAAACAUAUGUGUGUAUUUUUCGGCUGUGGAAAAAAGAAGGUUAUGGAUAGGCUAACAAAAUUACAAUCUGGAAGCUAUGAAGACAGGUAAAGAACAUAGCAUUUAGGCAUGACUAAGAAAUCGCGGAGCUACUACAAUGAAAGAGAAGUAAUAAAAGAAUACAAACACACCGACGAUUUAGUAAUGAAGGUUGGAACCAUCGAGUGGAACACAAAGAUUGCAUGAACGUACGUACACACAUGAAAGAUGAAGAAACUUUAAGAAUGAACUGUAAAACAGGGAAAGAGGAUCAGAACCUAAAGAACAAAUAAGAAGAUAGCUGAGGAAUUGCUGAGGAUAAAAAAUCAGCAUAAAGUAUCAAACAAGGGCUGCACAAAAAGUACAUUAAUAUAAUUAGUGUUAGAAUGCAGGAACCAGAAAAAUAGGCAAUUUACUGACCAACUACAGAAAUGGUAGUAACAAAUAUAAUUCAGUCACCGCAGGGAAGGAAGAACAAAAAUCAUAACGCUAAAAAAUGAGCAGAUAUAAUAAUUUUAGAACCCAAAAAAAGAGUAGGAUGAAAACGUAACCUGAUGGACGAUCUGUGUUGUAGCCCUGAAUGUAGGCCCUGAAAAAUAAAUCUAAAAUCAGCAAGUGGAAAAAAGCAGAAUCAUUAGAAUGGGGAAAGAUUACAUGUCUUUAUGUAAGGUCCUAAAAUAAAUCAAAUUAUAUGCAAAUCGGGUGUAUGGUGAUCCUUGAUCCGUCUCAUGCACCAUCUCAUUUGAGAAAUCGUUAGAAUCACCAUGUGAAAGAAAUAAGAAUAUGUAGAAAUCUAUUUAACAACUUCUGUUUUGAUAUAUGAGUAUAAGCAGGAAAAAGCAAAGAUUCUAAUGUGUGUACAUGACAUAUCAUUUUAUUUCCAGCACCAUUGCCCAUGGUCAGGCUUAACAGAUGCCAAUUAUAUUUUGGAAAAAGACAUUUGUUUCUAGCAUUAUUGGCAUGGACAUAGGGUCAACAAAAAAAAUGCAAAGUAGCAAUGCCUUGAAAAUAUGAUCAGGUGUAUCAGAAACAUCCCACAGGUACUGUCAUAUGAUCAAAUUUGGAAUAAGUACAUCAUCAGCAACUGCAUAUAUAUGCUCGGACUAAAAUAAAUAAAGAGUACCAUAGGCACAUACUUAUGUAUACUGAAAAGAUUGCGAUAGCAGUACAGUGCAUUGAGACAUGCUGAGAUUCAGAGGGCACAUGCUAUGAAAACCAACGGUAAGAAAUGAAUCAUUAGACUCCAGCUGUGUAACAGUGCAAACCCAAUAGGAUAUGAAAUAUAGUGAAUACACAAGCUCCUUCGUUAAUGCCAAAAGAUAUUAAUACUGGAUUUGUAUACAUGGCUUUGAAACUACAUGGAGUCAAUAUCUUACCAUAGGAGCAGCCUAUAUCCAUAAGUCGAGCAGCCAGAUUGAUAAUGAGUCUUGCUAGAUGUGUCCCAAUCUAACAGAAGACAACAACAUGGAAGCACAUAUUUUUAGAAGUUGUAGAAACUGAAAUAGCAUAACACUAGAUGUAUGCAGGAGCAGCUGAGAAUAAAUUUAACACCACUAAAGAACAAUAGAUGGGAAGAUGUUGUUUUUGUCAUGGAAAUAUUAUACAUGCAGCUUUUAUUUAGGUAAUAAUUCAAAGUGUGUGAAGUACUGCAUGUGCAUAUAAUGUAACAUAAUUCAUAAAAAAUUCUGGAAAACAAAAUCAAACUUACAUGUAGACACCUAUUUAUUUAGCAUCAAGAGCAUAACACAUGGCGGCAACACGGUAGAUUGUGUCGUAUUAAAAAAUAGCUCUAAAUACCUUUCAGUAUCCUGCAUGAUCUUAGAAGAUGUAGUAGAGAAAGAAAAAAGAUUGUAUCACUGUUAGUUUUGGAUGGAACCCAAAAAACAACUAUGUGCAUAAAACAUAUUAAUAUACCAAAGGCAUUAGGUGAACUCGACAUGGCAGUCCAUAGCCACUGCUUGCAGCACGACGCGUGCAGCCUGCAGCCUGCCGGCAAUUGACAUCAGGCAAAUAGGAAAAUAGAUCGAGGCCCGACAUAGUGCUUAGGGUUUCGCUAAGCUGAGGAGCUCACGGUCUCCGACGGCCGCGGCAUCGAGGAGCCCUGUGGAGGGUACAGAAGGGGAGAAGGAGAGAGAGGAAACAGAGAGGGGAGCACCAUCGCGCCGGUCGCCGCCAAGCUUGGCCCUCCUGCUGCGCCAGCAUACCAAGCUUAGGGUUUGGCCAGCUAGGGUUUCGGCCACAGGAGGAGUGAAGGCGUCCCGACAGGAGGAGGCACCGAGGAGGCCGCACGAAGGAUGGAGGAGAGGGAGGAGGUCGUCGGGCCUCACCUGCGUUGCCGCGCCGUCUGGAAGCCUCGCCGUCGCCUGGUGCCCACGCCGCCGCCGCCGGAGGAAAGGGGAAAAAGGAGGAGGAGGAGGAGGAGGAGGAGGAGGCGAAGGAGGAGGCGGUGGCGGAGGACGACGGCGGCCACGGCACGCCAAUCGCCGUCGCGUUCGGCCUGGUGGCGGUGUCGGAGUCGGAGAGAGCGAGAAGUUUCCCGUCUCCGUUUGUCUCUCUUUUUUUUUUUUUUUGCAGACACGAGGGGGCUGCUUAUAUUUGGAGAUGGCCUUGCCGAUGUGGACCAAUAGAAAUCUGCAGGGAUGAGAUGGCGCUGGCGUGGACGAAUCAGAGAAUUUCAGGCGACGUGGCCGGUCUCCCUGCGCAGGGCGUGCCUCCGGAUUGUUAGGUUAAAUGCGCUUUUAGAAUGGACGACAAGACAAAUCGAGCUUUCAUUGUUUCGCGUCCAUGCCUGAUGUCUCCUUACCCUGCUAAUAAUGUCUCUCAUUGGGCACUUUCCUACUAUCAAACAAAAAGCAUGACAGUGUUUUGCUUUCAGCUACCUUUUUUUUCUCCCUAAUAAUGUACUGUAGAAGAGUCUCUAUAUAUAUCGCCAACGACGACCCCGUCUUUAUGACAAAGCGAAAACAAACCAGAAAGCUAGAAAGAGUAGUACGUGUCCGAGACACAGAAUCAAUAUAUAACUUUCAUUUCUAAUCUGGGACACUCGUAGUCCACCGCUGAAUAAUAAUACAGUAUUAACUGACCAACUUUGACACGGCAAUUGGCUAAUGGCUAAUGGGGGUGAAUGGGUGAUGACGCUGCCAAACCAACACGAGUGCUGCCAUUUAUGGGCAGGGAAGGGCUCUUUUCAGCUAGCUAUCACUCACGUCGCUUUAGGUGCAGCUACUGAUCGAACUGCAUCCCUAAACACCCAAGAUGUAUACUAGUAGUAAUCAGUUGGGACGUCGUGUGUCACAUGUCAUUCCAUACAAGGACGUUAUUUGCCUCUUCCUGCAAGAUAGCGAUUAUUCCAACAUUUAUCACUCCUAGGCCUUGUUUACUUCAUCCCAGAAACCAAUUUUUUUUUUUUAAAAUUCUCUAUAAUAUCAAAUCUUGCGGCAUAUGCAUAGAUCAUUAAAUAUAGACGAAAAUAAAAAUUAAUCGUAUAAUUUGUCUGUAAAUCACGAGAUGAAUCUUUUAAGUCUAGUUAAUCUAUUAUUAAAUAAUAUUAUCAAUUAAAAACGAAAAUACUACAGUAUCGAAAUCUAAAAUAUUUUCGAAACUAAACAAGGCCUAGUAGCAAAAUAAAAAAAACACGCAACAAAAGCCUAGACAUUCAACUAGUUUGUCACAAGAAACUGACAGAUGCUGCUUGCUCGAGGAUAUGGAAGGCAAGAUGAGCAUCAGAUCAGAAUCGAAUAGGCCGGUAGCUCGGCUUGAGCUUUCCUUUGCGUAUCUCUCCGUUUCGUGUUGGACGGGCGACCGAGCAAAUGCCACAGAAAAUUGGCGUCGGUAAUUAGCGCGCGGCUGCGGCUGCGGCUGCCGUCUUUGAUGGGGAGUCGAAAGUGACCCUGGACAGAACAACGCUGUCUCAGGGGUGGCCCUCCCGGGCUUAUCUGCACUUCAGAAUUUCGAUUCGAAGUCGCAUUAUUUUGAAAACAUUUGUUGCUUGUAGCAUCGGAAGAUAUGCUAAACAAUUUGCUAGCCAGCGGAUCACCAUCCCGUCCACACCGAAUUCAAAUCGUGAUGAUGAUGCUAGUGGACGAGAGUACGAAACUGAAGAUAUUUCUUUUUUUUUUUCGUCAAACGACAAAAAGGUUAUGAUCGGGCACGUUUAAAUACAUGUAAAUAGAUCGGGACACAGGAUCAGAUCGAGAGGUCGAUUGGUGACGGGUACCAUUUUGUCUGUCGUCCCCGCAGAGAUUAAAAUAAACUAGUCACGCUCAGAGGAAUUAAUAACGUUUGCAUUUUGUAUUGAAAAAAAAAAUCAUCUCCAAAAGGUCAUAAAAAAGACUCAAAAAGCCUGUCCAGCUAGCGCAACAUGAUGCCUUGCAGCAGCAUGUCCCAACACAUGCAUGAUACAGGAGGUUAACAUCCAUACCGGAUUAUCACACGUACAGGAGGGUACUGCACGCAUGAUCAGGAAAAAUAUAAAAAAGGAACAGAAAUAGGAAGACAUGCAUGGGACUCAAGGGGAAAAAAAACUCUACCUCAACGACGAAUGCCGCGCUUCUCUCUCGACAGAUGUUUUUGUCGUGUAAAUUUGCAUUUUCACAGUGACGCGAAGACGUGUUUAGGUGUACUAAAUCAGGCCAAAUCUACCGAAUCUAUUGGUCUUUUAACAGUAUUUUUCUUUCAAAAUAAAUUAAUCAAUAGUAUUUUCUGCCAACGCUUCCAAAUGAACAAGGUAGGCAUGGCGAUGUUCUUCUCUUUUUUUUUUCUCUGAGCUUAUUGCUAUGUUUGCCAAACUUUUUACUCCAUGGGAUGGGCGUAUGCUGUAUGCAUGACUUCCAAAGAAGGGGGCAAGGCAAGGAAACAAAAGCAUGCAUGGGCAAAACGCACAGAGAAUGAUUAAAGACGGUCGAGGUGGUCUGGGCAAUGACUCGAGCUGGGUUCAUCAUGCACAGUGCUCUUGACAAAAUGAUGGGGCGUAAUUAUGCGUUUAUUACAUGCCUCCUCUGCCUUUUUGUUUUGUUGCGAGACAUCUUUGAGAGCCUCUGAAACCCUUUUCGCAUAAAUAUAGACUCCUAUAUUGUUUGCUUCUUUUCCCAGAAAUUGUGGUAUGCCAUGCGCCCAUGCCCAAAAGAAAACAGAUAGUAUUCCGGUAUCUACAAGCUGUGUACUAGCCCACAGCGGCACUACUGUCCUAUUAAAAAUAUUGUUUUAAACUUUUUUAUAUUGUAUUUGACAAUUCAAAAAUAUAUAUAAUAAAUAAAUUAAUAUUAUAUUAUCUCUAAUAAUAAAAUAAGUUAUAACAAAUUACUUAAUAAUUAUAGAAAAAUUUAAAGAAGACGAAUGAUCAUACAAGAUGACACGAAGUUUAAAACAUCACUUCCAAUGCGACGGACGAGUAGAUUUCUGAUGCAAAUGGAAUUGUUUAUUUUCUCUCUAUAUAUACAAACCCAUUAUCAGCCUUGCUACUCUCCCAGCAUGUCCUUUUUGUAGUACACAAGUGGCGACCAAACAUCCCUGCUAAACGUGUUUGAAGGAGCAUCAUGCGCAUGCAUGUUGCAGGCAGGUCUAUGGUCGAGUCGAGUAGCACGAAAGCACCCCGGAUCGUGUACGGAGUACUUCCAAUCAAAAAAAGGAAACGAAAAACUUGCUACUGUUUGCGCUCUGAGAAAGCCGGCACGGCCGCUCUGUCCGUGUCCGCAUCUGCGUGGCCACGUCCUGCCAAAAAUAAAAACGGUGCGUGCCAGCCAUCAGUUCCGCGGCGGGCGCACGGCUCGAAGUCUGUCGACCCAAGACCCGUGCGGGUGCUGCCUCUGCCUGUGCGGUGCCGUCCCCUGACCCUGAGAGAUCCUGACCCGCGCCAGCGCGCGGGCCACGGCCGUUAGCACGCUUGCGCCCGGCGGGCCGGCGUGUUGGGCUGCUGCGGUCUGCCAAGUACUAGCAUCUCACCUCACUCUGGUUGGCGCCGCGGCCUUUUUCGUGCAGUCCGACUUCGGCGUGUAGGCCCGGCCCGCGAUGCCGCGAGGAGAUGCUGCUGCUGAUGGAUCAAGGCAUUCAGCCCGUUUCGAUCGGUGAGCUCGGCUUGGAAUGGAAGGCUUCCGAGAAGCGUGGAGUAGAGUCCUCUAAAAAAAAAAAAAGAAGCGUGUGCGCGGGGGCCAAUUUUUGGCUCCACAGCCAGACCAGGUGGAAGUUACUGUAAAGUUUUACAUUGUCAGACAAUUUAUUUUACAUUUUUCUUUGUCCAAGAAGAUACGAAGUUCACCUUUAUUUGUUUCUUCGGUUUCUUUCUACUUUUGAUCUUGAUUUUUUAUUCUGAAUCCUAAUGGAACACCAAAGAGAAACAAUAUUGUACCUCAACUCCAGUUUCACAUUUUCUUUUCAACUUGGAACAUUUUCUCAUGAAGUUGGAUUUUUUCCUCCUCAACCAAGAAUAUUUUCUCAUGAAGAUGCAAUACAUUUCUAUUUACUUUACAACAUUUUUCUCUUGCACUUGGAUCAACUUUCUCAUGAAUAUAGAACUUUACGAGAAAAAUGUUAUUUGAAAUCAUCCACUGCAGGGAUUGUUACAAAGCCCUUGCUAUAUGGAAAACUAUAAUUUUUCUUAGGCUUGGUUCAUGCCACCGAAAAGCCUAACUACCAUCGGCAAGCCAAAUAGAUUUGACAUUGGCCAGCUACAACGGUUGCGGCAGCAAGGACUGAACACGGGCAACGGAGACAUGUAUCUUUUGCUUGUUCACUUAUCUAAAAAAUCAUAGUUGAAAGUAUCGUUCGCUGAUUUAUUGCUGAAUAGUUGACAGAUUCGGCAGAUAAGCUCAAAUAAACAAUUUUGACAAUGGUAUUUCCAAAACAAAUCAAAUUAGUAAUCCGACUUCAGCAUUAAAAUUCCUUGUCUAUAAAACAUGAUCUAUGUUAGCUAUACUUCAAAUCAAAGUAAUGUAAAAUCAAUGGCAUUGUCCAUUCUACGUGUCAUGGCCUUAAACUUGCAUUGCUUGGCACUACUUUAUCAAAAUUUGAUAUGACUCCAAAAAAUAUUGUUGCUUGCCAAAUUCUCUCAAAACCCUUGAACUUAUUGCUUGGCAUCAAUCCAAACAACCAGUUUCUUUAUGACAUGUAAACCCCUAAAAACCCCGAUCUAGGGCUGCUUUGUUCAUUUCCCAUUUUUUUCACAUGAGAUCCUAUCCUUAUAUUGGGCAAUUCCUCAAUCUAUGGAUGCGGGCUCCCCUAGUUUCAGCGGGAAGUGUAAACAUAAAUACCUUUAAAAAAACAUACUUUCGUAGUCUUUUUUUUUGAAACAAUGCAUAUUCAUACCCAUAUGUGUACUUUAUUGCAAAAAUUGAGAUUCAAAGUCAAUAUAGAAAAUAUCAUGACAAAAUUUAGAUGCAUGUGCACUACAAGACAAAUUCCUAGGAAUUUUGUCUUCUAGUGCACAUGGACUCCCAAUUUUGUCAUUUUUGCAUAAUUUUUUUUCUAGAUUGAGUUUUAAUUCCAAUUUUUGCGACAAUGUACUUAUAUGAAUGCACUAUGGAUACACAUUGUUUAAAAAAAAUUCCAAAUAUGUAUGAAUUUUUUUGAAGAAGUUUGCAUGUUUACACCUACCUUUAGAUUUGCACGUUAUAGUUUGUCUGUUUUGGAGGUAUCCAGGUUUGCCAUAGACAACAUUUAAUUUUGCUUGUCUGGAUUGCAAAUUCUAACCUACAGUACCUAUGUUAGCUAGAAAAAUGCCAGCUAACUAUAUGGAUCCAAUAAAUUAAGCCCGCCAGCUAAAAUACACAUGUACCUUUAAGCAGCAUUGGACCAUUCACUAGAAUUUUCCAACUAUUGGAACUAGAAGUAGCCAACCCACCUAACCCUCCAUCACCAUUUCUCCCCCACCCCUUUUAGGCCUUGUUGUCACCUAACCCUCCAUCACCAUUUCUCCCCCACUCCUUUUAGUCCAUGUUUGUUUCUACACCAAACAAGAGGGUUGAAAGGUGAUUGAGAAGAAUUUUGACUUGCCGGGAUUAAAUCUCCCGGGGAAUUUGACUUGUAGGGAAUUAAAACCCCCUAAUCUCCUCCAACCCCUUGGUUUGGGAUAGUGACCAAGAAGGCCUUGCUAUGGACGGGAGAAUGAAUGAUCAACAUUUGAGGUGGUUGGCUUAUCCUUGGCUCAUUGCUUUUUUUUUUUAAUCCCAUAGGACAAUCGGUACACGGCAAACACGGAUCGACUGAACAUAUAAUUCAAAAAUAAAAACACGUAUAAGAUAUCGCAAUAGUACGGUCACCAUACCAAAAUGGCCAUUUCGAUCUUUGGAAGACGAUCCGAACAACCCCAGUCAGAUAAUCACGGCAUAGCAACUCAAAAAAAAAAAAGACAGAUGGCAUGAACGGCAAGAGAGAGUAAUGGUCGGAAAAAGGCCAAUCAUGCCCAGAGAAAAAAGAUUCGCCUGGUCGUCCUUCCCGGAGACUCGCCGUGCUGUUUGUUAGAAACUCCACCACCUCGUGAGAAUGAGAUCGCAUCGGACGCUCCAGCUUCGUCGGAGCUGCCAAGAUCGGCGCCCAGGAUAACCUCGCGUGCCAUCGCCCCGGCAACAACCCGCCUCCGACAUCGGCUCCUAUAAACCCUAUAAACAGCGCCAGCCGUCACAAAGCCACAAGCAUGGCAACAACAAAGCAGCCAGAGCAAGCGAGCAAGCGCUGCUCGGCGCAAAUGGAAGGCAAAGCCGCGGCGAGCCGCGACGACGCCGACGAGCUGGAUCCCCUCGCCCUCACCCUCGGAUCCAUCUACGCGGCCGCCGCCGCUGCUGCUCCAGCCUCACCGCCGCCGACGGUUGCUCCGCGCGCUGCGCGCCGCCGCCUCAACAAUGGCAUGGCACCCAUCUACGCCGCCGCUGCUGCUCCAGCUUCACCGCCGCCACCGGUUGCUCCGCGCGCCGUCCGCCGCCGCGUCAACCGCGUCAAGCCACGCGCCGACGCCGGCGACCUGCUUGUCCAGGCGCCGUUCCCGUGGGCGACCGAGCGGCCCGCGCAGCACGGCACCCUGGAGAGCUUGCUGCGUCGGGGCGUGACGUCGGUCGAGGGCCAGGCGCGGUGCAAGCGGUGCGGCGCCACGAAGGCCAUCGCCUACGACCUGGAGACCAAGUUCUGGGAGGUGCGCGAGUACAUCGUCACCAACCGCCACGCCAUGUACGACCGCGCGCCCAAGGCGUGGGAGUUCCCGGCGCUGCCGGACUGCGACGCGUGCGGGCACAGGGGAGCCAUGUGGCCGGAGAUCGCCGCCGACAAGCACGAGAUCAACUGGCUGUUCCUCUUCCUCGGCCAGAUGCUCGGCUGCUGCACGCUGGACCAGCUCAAGUACUUCUGCAUGAACAACGGACGACACCGCACCGGCGCCAAGAACAGGGUGCUUUAUUACGCCUACAUUGAGAUGUCCAACCAGCUCUUGUCGUUUGAUUGAAUAUAUAUGGUGCUAGACCGGUAAAAUUAUCCUGAUGCGCAUCUAGAUUAUCUAUCUAUCAGUGAGCAAUCCGAUAUAUUUUGAUCUAGGUUGUAUGUUGUUUUGUUGAUCCAGUAGUUUCAGUUGAAAAAGAUCUAGAUGCUAUGAUAACAAAACGUAGUGUUUGCUUCAUUAUUGUUACACUUGGUUGUAACUCUAUAUAUUUUCUAAAUGCUAGAAAUAGAGAUUUUGGUGAGAAUUUAUCCUUCAACAGCUCGUCUAGAUGGUUAUGCAAAUAUAGUCAUCUUUUAUUUCGAAUUUUUCGCUAGUCAAAAAUAGAAGAUGAGAAUGGCGCGUGACCUGCUUGAGUGACUGUAACCAUGAAGUUGCUUAAUCAAUGAAGCUCCUAUUACCCCAAAAGAUAGAAUGGCUCUCUAGAGGGCGUACGAGAUAUCGAAAAACUGUUGGAUAGUGAAAAUGUAUAAAAAGCGAUUUUUAUGAAAAUAACUCUAUAAAUAAUGAUUUACAGAGUGAGGUUUAAAAUGACUCUAUAAAUGAUGAUUUAGAGAAGAAGGUUUAGAUAGACUCUUAGAGAUGCUCUAAUAUAUAUUAUAUAUAUUAUGUACUAUACGCUCCGCAGCGAUGAGCAUAUUUUUAUGUGUCAAUGUGCACUCCGCAUGCGAGCAAGUAUGACUAGAUUUAUAUAAAAUAUUAACAAUAUUUAUCUUUAAAUAAAUUUAUUUUUCUCGAAUACGCAAAAGGUUUGCGCAUAUUUGUAUUAAGUAGAAGCAAGUUUUUUACAAAAGCGACGAGGCGCUGGCGGCGGAGGUUUGACAUGUGGUACAAGAACAUUGCCCUCCCCGCAACACGACAUGCUAACUACUCCCGAACUAGACAACCUAAGUUCUGAGCCCCGGCUUCUAUCCAGAGAUCUCCAGAGAUCUUGAUGGCCGACUCCAGCUGACCGACCGUGGCCGGGAGCCCCUGAAGCAGCGCGCAUUGCGUUCUUUCCAUAUCUCCCAUGCUACCAAGGCGAAUAAAGAGUCCGCUCAUUUACGCUUAUCUCCGUGCCAUCUGUGUCUCCAGCUCUCCCACCAUGCUAGCCAGAAAAUAGAUUCAACAAAAUCUUGUGUACUAUAAAUAUUGAUAUUUUUAUAUAAAUUUAGUUAAAAUUAUUUUUUAGAAAGCAAGAAUGACAGUUAAUAAGGGACAAAGAAAUUAAAGUACUGCUGCCUUAUUUCUUUUGUCCUUGAUUUUAUCGAUUUGUUUUCUUAAAAUUUCAUAGCGCCCAAAGUUUUUCUAUAUGAAAUUCACAUAAAUACUCGUGGGAAAUAUUUCAGUUAUAAAGAUGUGGCCUUAUGAAAUAGUUUUGCACACCUUUUCUAUUCCCCAGUUACCUGAAUUCUGUUUCCCUCUCAGCCUCUCAGGUGACACUUUUGUCUGAUGGAUGUCUUCAAGAUCCGUGCGCCAAGCUGUUUGGUUUAUUGGGUCCUAUAUUUCUUAUCCGUCGCCUGAAAGAAUCCCAGAUUUCAUACACCUGAAAUCUUAGCAAUACCCGUUAAUAUUGUUUUGGUAAAUGAUAAAGAAAUAUUAUGAAAAAAAUUCUUUGAUGUCUCAUUACAAAUUUUAAAGUAUUUUCUAUUUCAUUGAUAUUUUGCAAACAAAUGGUAAAUAACUAGCUACCUCUUCAUUGUCUCAUAGCAAUUUUGAAAGAAUUUGAAGAUUGUUGUAGAGCAUUGAAAAGUUGCUUUUUGGGACCAAUGAUCAUCACCCAAGGUUUUGUAGAUCAUUUUAAACAUUCAAUGGAGAGCUGGGAGCCAUCUUUUUUAGCUAUUAAAAAACAUCUAGUUCAUAUGAUAUUUACUCAAAUCUUAGUUAUUCUUGUCGCAAGAGCACAUGCAAGUUGAAAUACCAUCCAUUUAGUGAAAACGUAAUCCCAUUCAACAGAUACCACAAUUUUCAUCCACUCAAUAGAAGUUGCAAUCUACUCGCUCCAUUCUGAAAUAUCGUAUUCUAGCCAUUUUCAGACAAAAUAAUUAACAGAGAGUGCAAUAGACGCAUUUAUCCGUCCCUUAGCUUCCUAACUAAUCUAUCGAAUCACAUCGUCUACAGUCGGUUGAUCUAGGCCGUUCAAGUAGAAUUUGACGGUACACAGUUCCCCUGUGCUGCAUCCCUUGGGCCUCAGCCCAACAAGGACGCGCUGCAUGGAAGACGAGAGGAAAUUUAUGGUCAAUUCACUCAUGACGUUAACACUACAACGGAUCAGCAGCUUAUUUAGUAAAUACUUUGUCUAGCUGGGCGUACCCAAACCGCACAUACCACGGCCCAAUGCCAGAUCGAAGCCCAUGGCCCAAAGUAGCUGACGCCAUUGUUAUUUACACCAACUAAACACGGCAAUCGGUAGGUAUAUCCUUGACCUUCUAGUCCUCAGCGUCAUCGAGGGGGAUUUCGCGCACUGCCUGGGGAAGGAGGUACCUGGUCUGGGAGUUGGGGACUUGGGAGGACUAGAAGGUCAGUAUUAGCUAUUUUUUCAACCGGUGGCGCCGCCGGUGACGAACGGGGCUCAUUAUCUCAUCUGGCCCUUCGUCAACCUGCGCACAACGGAGGGAAACUCCUCCCAGACGUGACUUUUCUGGGGCUGGCGUGCGCGGACGGGUUCCUCCAUGGCGUGCACUGGCAUAGUAUUAGUAGUCAUUGCAAAGCCAAGAGGAGACUCGAACAGAGAAGGGGGAAGGACCGAAGGAGAGACGCAGGAAGAAGCAAGGAUUGCCAUACGCUGGUACUUUUAUGUAUUCAUUCGUGCGUCGUUUUGCUGUUUCUGUUUGCGGUUGCCGUCGAUUUCCUCAUGGUCGUGUCAUCUGCAGACUGCACUGCAGCCGCGCUGCGCUGCGAGAGAAGAGGGCGGGGGGAGCACGUGGAGGAGCCAAAGGGGGUGAUUCCCUUGCUGGGCUAAAGGUUUGGCCUUCAUUUCCCGCCUCUUCCGCAUCUUGAGUUGUCGUGAACUCGUGAUUAUAACAAGACAGCAAGACCUCGGGGGCGGCAAACUGUCGAGCACCUGCUACUGCUAGCGUCUCUGUGCCACCGGGUAGAUUAGCUUUGUCCUGGUUGUGGUGGAACAGGUCGCCAGUAAUUAGUCUCCUGCUGCUCCUCUCUUCUUUAAACGGCUGCUUAAUUCGGUUCCGUCUAGGAAUUCUGGUUUUGAUAUGUUGCUCUGCUUCUAUCAUCAGACUCUUAGUUGGUUAAUGCUCCUGAACAUGCCUCAGUGAAUUGCACAUUAAUUAUGAAGUUUUGGGGUGAAAUAAUAAGCAAUAUACUUACUGCAUCUAGCAAGAAUUGAGUCAAACUGCACGACUAGUUUCCCCAUCAAUUAAUUAAAAUUAAAAAUGUUACACAACUUUGUAGACGACAAUAAUAAUAAAGCCUUAGCUCUUGUCUGCUAGUAGUUUAUAGAAUAAAGGCAUAAUUAGAUAAGUGUAGUACUAGUCCUUGAUACCUCAUAAAUAUGAGGAAACUGAAAUCCUUACAGUUGAUAGUAUACAUGUCUAGUUGGUUCGAGGAAUCGUGUACUGAAAUUUCUAACUUAUUAAGUGGAUUUCGUAAAUUUAUUCAGUUGUUUAAUAAUUUCAGGACUCAAGAGGCAAUGCCAGCACCAGCACCAUCGAUUAGUCUGGGAGCUCCAACUCCCUAUAUAACAUCUCAUGGAUCCAAAGUUGCACGCCUACACAUGUAUGACUGGAUUGUGCUAGUUCUGCUAGCUGUAUUGGAUGGAGUUCUCAAUAUAAUAGAACCAUUCCAUCGGUUUGUCGGAUCAGAAAUGAUGACAGACCUCAGAUACCCCAUGAAGGACAACACAGUGCCAUUUUGGGCUGUGCCGGUAACAUACUGUUCUCUUGUAGUGUUACCUUGUCAAUUCUGAUGAACCUCUUGAAUACCUUUUCUUCAAAUCAUGCUUAUACAGAUAGUUGGUAUCAUUGGGCCUAUCAUUAUUAUGACAGUGAUAUACUUUAAGAAGAGAAAUGUAUAUGAUCUGCAUCAUGGAAUACUAGGUACACCAACUUUCUUGCCUGAUUCAUUGUGCUAGUUUAUCCAUUUAUUACUUAUUCUGAAAUCUAGCUUGUCCUAGCAGGUCUCUUGUUUUCAGUGCUUAUCACUGCUGUUUUAACUGAUGCGAUCAAGGAUGGUGUUGGGCGACCGCGUCCAGAUUUCUUCUGGCGUUGCUUCCCUGAUGGAAUACCUGUAAGAUUCAUAGCUUUAGCCAGACCUUAAUAAUAACUCACUUGAAGCCCUUCUGCAAUUACAUUGCAUGUAAAUUGUAUAAGAGAGCUUACGAGUUUACUUGGCCUUUAGGAUUAUAAUAACUUUACUACAGGCGCCAUAUGCCAUGGCGAGGCGAGUGUUAUUAAAGAAGGUCACAAGAGCUUUCCAAGUGGUCAUAGUUCAUGUAAGUGACAUUAUUCUUUACAAAUAUAGGGAUUAGCCCCAUAUUACUAGAACUAACAGUUUGGGAAAUGUCCUAUUUCAUGACGUGCUAACUACCUUCUUAGCAGUUUAGCGAAUAUAAUAAUUGAUGCCUCUUUUGUCUUGGUUCCAAUCUUGUUUUAGCUACUGCUGAAUAUUUCUUAAUCAGCUAUGGAACAAGAUGUUUCAUAUGUUUUGUAUACAAUGUCUUUUUUUAAAAGUUCUCAAGAAACGAAUGUAUUGAUGUUUUUUUCCACUUCUAUCUGUCCAUGUGAUCCUUUUAGCCCUUUGUUAAAUAUUGCAUUCUUAUUUCACUCUUCCAUUGAGUGUAUGAAUUAAAAGUUGAAGUCAGCCUGACCCAAAAGAUUGCUUCUGCAAAUGAUAGUACGAAUUAUCUUGAUAAUGUAAAAAUAUAAUGCUGAUAAUUUGCUGUAUAAGCACAAUGUACAUAUAUUGACAAAGUAGUCCAUCAACCCGUGCUCCUGCAUGGAUUGUAAUUUUAAUAGACAUAAGUGUUACAAGUUCGUUGAUAAAUUUAGGGCCUACAACUAAUAAAAGUUGUUUAUCUUUGUUGUCUCUCGUUUAAUCUCGUAUUCUAAAUCAAUACUCAUAUAGGUGCUUCGUAAUCUUUAUAUGAUUGUGAUAAACUAAAAUUACCAAUUACUCUAUAUGUUUUUCCCAUUCCCAUUCAUAGUCUCUGCCCUUUGGAUUGCACUUUCAUGCUUAUUUGACAUGUGUUUAGUUAAAUCCUUAGCUUGGGCUUUGUGGUUAACAUGGAAAUCAAUUAUACUCAUCGCUUCUUGCAUACAUGUAUACAUGGUCUGCACUCUUCAUGGUGACACACAUUAUGCAGUAUACCUUGUGUUUGUUUUUUUAUGCAGUACACCAAUCAAUUCCAGCUUUUAUUUGGUCAGUGGAUUACUCAUAGAUUUAUGUUUAUAUCUUAGGGUCUUUUGCUGGCCUUGGCUUCCUUUCAUGGUAUCUGGCUGGUAAAAUCAAAGUAUUCGAUCGUAAAGGGCAUGUUGCAAAACUCUGCAUUGUCCUUUCCCCUCUGCUUCUUGCAGCCUUAGUGGCAGUUUCUCGAGUUGAUGACUAUUGGCAUCACUGGCAAGAUGUAUGUACUGGUGGAUUACUUGGUAAGUAUCGAGUAACACUCCCUCCCAUUCCCUCCACAGGCACCACAAAGAAAUGGAAAUGUUAAUGUACAUAUGGUUGUUUUAUGCCAUGUAUGUGCAUAUGGUUCUCAAAGUAUAAGUUAUUGUUACAAUGUGCAGGGUUGACAGUCGCUUCCAUUUGCUACCUGCAGUUUUUUCCACUACCAUCUGAUGAAAAUGGUAUGCUUCUAACUCUGUCCUUAAUAAAUUGUGAUUAAUGUUCUGUCCAUCUUUGCUUAUCUCAAAUUAUAGUGAAUAUGUGGUUGGGGGUGUCUAUCCUGGGUUUACUUGAGGUUGUUUCCAAGUAAUGAAAAAACAAUCAAGCUUGGACUAGAAAAAUAAAUAAUCACCCAAUGUUUAUGUAUAAUUUUGAGGUGCCAUACAUUUGGCGAGUGGUGACAAGCAUGCUGUGUAAUGAACUAAUGACCCAAUGUUUAUGAAAUGAAGAGUAUUCAUUUUUAGUAAAAUGGCAAUCCCCUUUUGAUAUAAACCUACUGCAGCUGGACUAACAUCCCUGAAGAAUGUUUUUAACUAAAUAAUUGUGGUCUCGUUGAUAGACAUUUUCAAUUUCAACAGUUGCAAUAAUACUUAUGGAAGUUAUUCUUAACCUGCCUCAAAAUGCUCUGCAUCAGGAUUUUUGCUAUCUAGAAACAGAAAUAUUCGAGUUAAUAGCUUUCAAAAUAGUCUGCCUGCAGGAAAACUUGCACCUAGUGUAUUUCUUCUCUCCCUUGAUCUUUUUAACUCUUCCUGAAUUGGACACUUGUGUCUAGCAUCUAGCAUGCUCCUGCUUUGGCAGUGUCAUGAGUAUAAAGAGACUGACAAAGGUGCUACGUAGUACUGUGUUAGUUAGUAAGAAAGCCCCUGGAUGUGGCAGGCUGUGUUGGAAGAUGACUAGUACUAACACUUGUAUUGGCAGGGUUCAUGCAAGAAAAUAGGACAUGGUGCAGUGCCUUGGUUUUUACAGUUUGUCUUGGUAUACACCAUGUCAUUGCUAGUCCUUGCACGAACUAAGAUGAUGAGUUCAGUGUGCAUGGCACGGAGAGAAGAUAGGUUUAGGUUAAAAGACUAAGAAACAAAUUCUCAAAAGGUUAUAUUAGCAGUUGGUAGCCUAAUACUGUGCACAGAGAUCCUCCAAUAAAAAGUUGAAAAAUAUCAGCCAUUCCAAGUAACAGAUAGGUACAAACCAAAGUUUGCAGGCUCUCAAGUCUCAUGGGCUCAAAUUUUUUUCUUAACAAAGCUCAUGGGCUCAAAAAAAAUUGAACAAAGUUUGGGCUCUUUUUUUUUUGAACAAAGCUCAUGGGCUCAUUUAGACACUGCUGUUUACUGCCACGGUCAACCAACUGUGCCCUUUGCUCGCUGUCCUGGAAACUUGUACUCCCUCCGUUUUGAUUUAGAGGUCGUUUUGGCUUUUAUAGAUAUACAUAUUUUAUUAUGUAUCUAUAAAUACCAUAUAUCUAAUUGCAUAGCAAAAGCUAUGUACAUAGAAAAGCCAAAAUAAUCUAUAGUUUGGGACAAAGAGUGGUAUCCAUUAUGCAUUAUUUUCAUAGAAUGGUCUGGUGGGUGUUUGAGUAAGCAUGAUAUUUCGCAAAACUCACAUGCCGGUAUUGGAUACUCCACGGAUAGUCAUACAGAUACUCUGUAUCAUGGGUGUGUCGAAAAUUUACUCAAUUUAUAAAUGCUAAGAAUAACCCAGAUGCUCCUGAUAUACCUGACCGGUACGGUGGUACAUAUGGGAUACCUUGACACCUAUCACCAUGCUCAGUAUAGGAGCCCUUAUCAAUUCCAAUGGCGGUUAGUCUGCCCAUGGUGGUCAAGUCGGAGGAUUUCCUGUUGUCAACGACCUAGAUAUUGCAACUCGGGUCUUGGCUCCUUGUUGGCCUGAACGUACCUUAUACAAUGUUAUAGCUCUGUCAGGAUUGAUUGUUAAAUGUUAAUAGUUUCACCUUGUGGAAUGAUUGUUAAGUGUUAAUAGUUUCACCUUUUCCAACGGUCAGGAUUGUGGCCUCACGCGUAUUUCCGACACAUUGGUGAGCCAGAGGGUGACAACCAAGUGCAACCCACGUACAUGAGCCGUCGCAGCUCGAUUCAUAACGGUUCCUUUCACAGUCCUGAUGCAGUGGAAAUGAGGAGCACGAGCCGAGCACUGGAUUCCAUGGAAGCUGGUGGGAGAGUCCAAUGAUGGAAUAAUAACACCAAGGGCCACAGACCAUUGUAAAUUUUGUAAUAUAACCUUCUAGUGCUUAGUAUAGCAAAGAUUUUGUUCGAUUCCUUAUUAUGUAACUUCCAAAGCAUAGAAUAUAAAGCACAUGUCUCUGGUGAGAAUUCUUGGCUAGAUUCCAUCUCCUUUUGGAACAUAUAUUUGAUAUAUGACGUCGAUGCGUCAUGAGACACAACACAAAGAAGCAUGAGCUUAUAUGUACUAUUUUGGAGGAUCUUAAAAUGCGGUUCCUUUAGCAUCAGAAUGAGCCACAAACAGGUUGUUGGAAGCAGAUGGCUUCGGCAUCCUCUAUGCAUUAUGAUGAUCACUUUUCUGCUAGUGUCCUCUGAAGUGCAAUUGAUUACUGCGUCGCUGUGAUCCGGCCGCCAGCCAUGUGAUUCAGGUGAUGAUCGAUACAAGAAGGAACUCAUUCGGUGCACUGGGGUUUGUUGGGAGUUGGGACUGGAACCAUUAUCGCAGCAUCAUGUUCCUCUACAGUGGCCAGAUUUGAACGGAUCCAUUUCAGGCACCUGCACAACAUGACCAAAUUGGUCCUGUCGUCCUUGUUAAACUGGGACUGGACAAAUAAAAGCCUGCAAGCUGACAGGCACACCGACAUGUGAGUUGAUAUUUUCUUAGACCGAAUGAUGCCGAAUUGAUAGCGAGCCUGGCACACCGACAUGUGACCCGACCUGUUCUCGCUUUUCUCGUGAUAAACUACUGUAGUAAUAGUACUAUCAGUGCUCCUAUUAGGCAACAAAGAUGGUCGAUCGUAUGGACAUGCUAGUGCAGACGCUACUUUCUGGUAACGGAGCAUCAUAUUUGUCUUGACUACUGAAAAAGCCAUGCAGCCGCAGUUACCUAAACUUUUCAGCGAAGGAUGCAGGGAUCAAUCAUGAAGACAGAGCAGAAGAUGAUGGUCCAGUCCUGAUUUUUUUUUUCUUUUUCUUUUUCUCCAAAUUCAGUCAGAUUAAAUGAUGGGCGACUUAUCAGACGUGGAGAUUUUUUUUUUCCAGCACAGUUGAAUAGUUUCUGGCCAUGGACAGCAGCACAAAACAUAACUCUCAGAAAAUUUCAGUGGUGUGUCCUUGUGAUGAGGUCUGACCAGAUCAGACAGACCUGAAUGAAUUAUUGACAUCACAACAACCCGGCCGAUAAACUCCUAUCCAGGUGUGUUUGUUGACGAAUAAUUCAGGACGGUACCGUUGCACUGUCAAUUCUCAAUUCUCAUACCAUGGAAUCUGAAUCUGAAAACCUGGAAGGAUCGGAGGAGGACAGAUAUAUUGUGAUUAGCUGGUGCAGGUGCACACUGUCCUUUCGUCCCCCUCUCUUUUCUCGACAGGUGUAUGAACAUGUGUUUAGUCUUUUGGGGCAACAAGAUUAUGGUUUGCAUAGGAUUCCUGGGUUUAUGCUCUCUGCUGUACAAUACAACUGCUAGUGAGUGCUGCCAACUUGCAAGAAACCAAGGACCGGCAGCAGGAUCAAUGGCCAGAGGAGAGAAAUCAGAGAUGGGCCGAGUUGUUCAGGAAAGAUGGAGAAGGAGGGAGGGAGGGAAUCUACUCAUCCUACCGUCCUACAGUAGUAGCACGUACGAGUUGGUCAUAAUGUAUUACUUAUGUUGCUAAUGAGAAUCAACGACUAGGGCCUCUGUGACAGCUGUUGAGAUGCGUGUCUGUCAAAGCGCGCGCGGAGCCCCAAAGUGCGCAAAGGUGUAGGGAGUAGAAUUUUAGCCCGAUCGAUAGGCAACGUGCACAUGCGUGGAGCUGACAAGAGAUUUGUUUGACUCUGGAAUAUUUGAAGCGUUGCUACUUUGGCCUUGUUUAGUUCGUAAAAAUUUUUGUUUUUGGCUACUGUAGCAUUUCGUUUUUUAUUUGACAAACAUUGUCCAAUCACGGAGUAACUAGGCUCAAAAGAUUCAUCUCACAAAUUACAGAUAAACUGUGCAGUUAGUUUUUAUUUUUGUUUAUAUUUAAUGCUCCAUGCAUACGACAAAAAAUUCGAUGUGACGGAGAAUUUUGAAAAUUUUUGCGAACUAAACAAGGCCUUUGCUAGGCAAUGCACGGCGCCAAAUAGUUUUGACCCUGAAGCAGCCUCAAGUGCGUGUUGUGCAGAGCUGUACUCCCUUCCUAUACGACGACUGACCGAAUCAUGGCAGCAAGACCUCGAGAGUCGAGUAUGUUAGUCUUAUAUUUGCAUACGAGUAUGCUGCAAAUUGCAGUGACUAAUCUAUGUACUAUGGCCCAUUUCCAUGUGAUUCUGGAGCGGAUGCUACUCAAGGACUUCGUAGUUUGCUUUCAACGGUGUAGGCGGUGCGAAUGUUAGAUGUACUACUAGCUGUAAUAACUUAUAAACAGUGCAGUCUGCUGCAUGAACAACCGGCAGAAGUAAAUACAGUAGCCAAUUUGUCUAGCCCAGCUAGGGACGUUUUUCCGGUAGUGGUAGCUAGCUUUCUCCAUCAACGGUACACUGUACCGGUACACUGAAGUUAACACCUCGCUGUCACUUUAUAUUUGUGCAGGACAAGUUGAACAGGGUCGUCGGCAGCGUGUGGUACUUCGCUAAUAGUGCUGUUUAUAUUCUUCAUGGUCAUUGGUCAAACAAGUCGUCUUUCUCAUACUUAUUAACAGCUGAUGGAUAGGAGCUAGAGGAUAAUAUGAGAUGACGAAGAUAUACAUAUAUAUGUGUGUGAAUGCAUUGUGGACUUUUCUUUUUUUUUUUUUAGUGAAAGAGUUCCGUCAACUACUAGGUACUGCGUGCAACAACGUGUGUAAAGUUGUCAAGAACCGGCGGAAAGUUUGUGUGCAGUGUAUGUAGUACACUACAUGGUUAUAAACACAAGUGCAAACGUACGUAGAGAGCUGGGAAAUGGCCACACGAGAGGAGCGGAGAGAAGAGUGGGUUACAACUCGAUCGCGGCGAUCGACGUGAUUAAAUUGACGACGCCAAGUCUGAUUUGGUUCGGUGUUAGUUGUUGGGCCGAUCGAGUACCGAUAGCUAGUCAAAGAAAUCGCUCGUAGACAGACAGUUUAUUGAGAGAGAUGGGCAGCAGCACAGCCAUACGCCCAUAUCUUUUGAAACGGUACAUGUAAAUAAGUGGGAGUGCAACCAUCCAUCCAUCCACAUAUAUUAAACUAAGUACUACCACUCCUUAUAAUAAUCAUUUUGUAUAUGUGCAAGUACAUGCGUGAUGCAGCCUAACCACUUGACCAACAAGGCCAGCAGCCCAAGCAGCUUGCUUUUGAUGCGCUCGACCACUGAGCUGAUGAUCGAGCACCACUUGCUGACUAGUAUUAUUAGCAAUAAUAGUUAAUUAAUCCGCGCGAUUAGGCACGGAUCGGGGGCAUGUGGGCGGUUUGACCGGUGUCCAUGCCCCGCCAAUGGCGUCGUCGCGGAGAGCUGCUACUGCUAGAGACGUCGUCCGCCCACGACGCUGUCCGUCUCUCAACGAAAAAGCGCCGUGUGCUUAUCCGUCCACAGUCCACACACACACACACACACACCUGACCGCGGCAUGUGGUGGGAUGCAUAUGCUCCCGCCGCUGCUGCUGUGUUGUGACCUGGUGGGGUGAGACCCUCUACUACUGCUUCUCCUUCCGGCGUGCUCCCCGAGAGCCACACCCGCUGGACACACGCAAGCCGCGGAUUAGCUUUAUAUUUAUAAUCGAUCGGACAGGUGGAUGAAUAUCUUCUCCGCGUUGCGUUUUGGUUGCUUCUUGAUCCGGAAAGCUACAGACUAGUAGUAGUAGUAAUAACAAUUAACAACAGGGCCGCCCAACUUGCGUUGUCGAAUUCACAACAGUGGUGCUGCUGCUUCGGCGAUAAGCUAGCUGACGAUGGACCUGACUCCUGAGGAUGUGGUGCUCCGGCAAAUCGUCGCUCGUGCAUUCUAGCCCUCGAGAAGUAACGUAAUAUCAUGUUUUUAUCAUUUUAGCCCCUCGAUUUAUGUUCUAGUAGCUCCCAGUACCGUCGUCGUUUAUUGUUUGUUUACUUGUUUAGGCGUCCUGUUCGUUUGGGAUUAUCAAUCAAAUCUGCUAAUUACUUAUAAUAAAUUAGUUAACAGUAUUUUCUGUCAUGAUUUAUCAGCCAAACGAACAAGGCGUUGAUUGAGUUUGGCCAUGUGUGGCCAGAUUUGAAUUUUUUCACAAGAAAUAUAUAAUUGCAGUUCAGUUUCAGUAUCCAUAGAAAAUUAGAAAUGUGACUGCGUGAAAAAGAUCGAUUACCCUGUGAAGGGCGAAAGUGCGUAUGAGCUGUACUCCCUUCAUAAUGAAACCAGUUUCUAGACUACCGCGAGUGCCAGUACACCACUUGCACAUACAGUUAGGCCUUGUUUAGUUCGCAAAAAUUUUCAAAAUUCCCCGUCACAUCGAAUCUUUAGUCACAUGCAUGGAGCAUUAAAUAAAGAUAAAAAUAAAAACUAAUUACACAGUUUACCUGAAAUUUGUGAGAUGAAUCUUUUGAGCCUAGUUACUCCGUGAUUGGAUAAUGUUUGUCAAAUAAAAACGAAAGUGCUACAGUAGCUAAAAAACCAUAAUUUUGCCAACUAAACAAGGCCUUAGCCAAGGAAGACCAGCUACACGCUACGAAAUGCACAGUAGUAUAUUCAGAGAGUCCUUGUUUCUGUCUUUAUACACCAGCUAGUCAUACGCCACGGAAAAUACAGAACGCGUCGACUGCGGGCCGAGGCCAGAGAACCACAAGGUGUAACGUGCAAAAUUAACAUCCAUCCAGCAAAAAACUAUCGCCUCUCGCAUGCAACUGGGAGAAAAAGCAAGACCCGUGGAAAACGACCUAACACUGGGCAUCAAGAUCCGAGCCGUGGGUCAGCAGGUCAGGCUAGUCCCCAUACAAAAACAUGCUCCACAUAAACAUUAGUACUACUAUGAUCACUAAACAUAUGCAUAAAACGCAGCGUUGACUCGCUAUAAAAGCCCCCACCAUAUACACAAGUCUACAAGACCAGCAGCGGCACCUACUCCACAUGCGGGGGGGUUCAUUAGUUUAACACCAAAUUGGUACUCCCACGCAGAGGCACCUGAAUAAUCAAGUGACGAAGAGCAGAUGAUGACGCUAACCUUGAGCUCUCGCCUCCACCCAAACCGACGGACGACACGAGGGACCGGGAACGCGACACGCCCGCAGCAGCCCCUGCAUGUGCAUGUGGCCACCCGGCAGGCACACAACCGCGGCCGCCUGCCUGCCUGCCGGAGCAAAAGAAAAAAACACGGCAGACUUCGGUGCCACUGCAUAGCAGCCUUGCCCGGCCGUCGCCGCCCACUUGCCACAAGAGACAGUAAAAAAAAAAAAGGGAAAGCAAACGCGAUCGUUUCCACACGCAGGACGGCAGGAGCUCUGCCGCCGAGGACCCGCCCGGUGGGGCGAUGGGUCUCCAAAGUCGCGCUGCCCCUCUGGCGGUUUUGUACCCGGGCGUCGCGUCCUGUUCCUGGUGAUGGUGUGGUGCCUAUCCCCAACUAACCUGCCCCAGCCAUGUACUAGUAGUCUGCUGCCUGAUUGCCUCCUUUGCUGUGCAAUGCAGCUGUGUGUGCAGUGCAGUGCAGUGCACCACGCCCACACUGCACCCUGCGAGGGCAACGGACCCGCUGGCUCCCUCGCGACUUCUUCGUUCACGAGGGGUCAGUGAGUCCGGCCAGACGCCUUUCGUUGCCAUGCAUGCUUCGACGCGGUGGGAAACUUCCGGGAACGCAGCGGUGUGUGGGGGGGUGGGGGGCGUGCUUGACUUCUCGUAGCGACUAGCGAGAGAGAGAGAGAGAGACAAAUCAAAAGCGCGGGGGUGCUGGCUGUUUGGACAGCAGGUAAAGCCUAGCUAGCUUCUCGUCAAAAGGCAGCAUCGAUUCAGGUUUUCCAUGGCGUGGCAUGCAACAAAAGCUGCUAGCCUACACUUGCGUCCUUGUCCUUCUUGGAAUCUUGGGCCCCUUCUACUAAAGAUGAAAACGAUCGAAAACGAUCGAAAAUGGAAUUACAAUGUAAAAAACGAAAACAGUCGGUACAGAAUAUUUCUAUAUUUUAGCAAUUAAAGAGUACAAAAAAAAUAAAAAUGGUUGUAAAACCAACUGAAACUGACAAAUUUUUAUGUUUGACAAAAUUCGAAAACAGUUUCAUAAUAUAGAAAACGAUAUCAUAAUGUAGAAAACGAAAGCGGUCGGUACGGAAUAUUUCCGUUCCGUUUUCAUCGUUACCUUCUACACGGUUACUACUAUUUUAGCCUGGCACAGCCGCACACGCAGUAAGAUCUACGGAGUACAGUACUAGUAGAAGCAACACCAUUACAGUACCUACUAGCACUGUAGUACUAGAAUCCGAGCAAGAGUGUACAGGGGUGCUGUAGAUGAGCAAGAGUGUGACGGUACUGGUGCUGUGUGCUCGUACGUACUUGCAGGCGAGGGAAUGUAAAGCUGAGAAAAGCGUGCAAUGCAGCCGAUGUGAGAUGUUUUCAAACGUUUCUCCGUUGGAAACCUGCAGCACAUGUAGGACGUGUCCUGUGCCACAUGGUUGCUGCGAGGAGCCGAGGACUAGCAACAGCAAUAACCACACAGCAGGUAAUCAUGUCGACUGCACCGUGGUACACGCAUUUUCUGUGCCAUGCUAGCCUAGCUAGGACUAUUCCAACCGUCAGCCUUUCCUUUCACCUCACCAUAGGUUACUCGUAGCUAGUGUAGUUCUUGCUUCUAGGUUAGAGCAAAUAAGACCGUGUUUAGUAGCAGAAGAAUUUUGCAAAAUGAUAAAAAAUAACUAAUUACAUAAUUUAUCUAUAAUUUAUGAGACAAAUUUUUUUAAAAUAUAUUAGUUUAUAAUUGAAUAACAAUUAUCAAAUACAAACAAAAAUAAAGUAAUAACACUUUGCAAAUUUUUUUUAGAAACUAAACACGUUCUAGAGACUCGUGGACUGAAUAUUAAGACGUACGAAAAAGAAGGAGAGAAAAGAAACGGAUCCGCUGGCUAAAAAAGUAACCGUUACUAAUACCGUGGGCUUUUUCGCUGGUAUGAAAAGUUAAGGUUAAAAUUAUUUUUGGCUGGUUUAUUGGAAGAGAAAAAUACUACUUGUAAAAAAAAUAGCUGAAAAAACAUUAUUUUAUAUUUAAAAAUUAGUGCCGAUAAGUUCCAGCCAAAACCUGCAUAUGCAAGUGGCCGUCGGUUGCAAGCUGCUUCGCUAAUCCAUCCAGUUCCAACCUCGCUCGACACUGUCACUUCUGCCUCGCUCGGGUGUCGCUGCUUUCUCUGCGUGCUCUACAGGCGGCAAACAAUAUUUUAGUGCCUUGUUUACUUCUAAAAAAUUUUGCAAAAUAGAAAUAGUAGCACUUUCGUUUGUAUUUGACAAAUAUUAUCCAAUUAUAGACUAACUAGGCUCAAAAGAUUCAUCUCGUCAAUUCCGACCAAACUGUGUAAUUAGUUUUUAUUUUUAUUUAAAUUUAAUACUCUAUGUAUACGUCUAAAAAUUCAAUGUAACGGAGAAUCUAAAAAAAAUGGUGCAAAAUUUUUAGGAACUAAACAAGCCAAGCCAAGGCGAUUAGGCGAGACCACGCAAGAGAGAGGGGGGGGGGGGGGGGGGGGGGGUACCGUACCGGCUUUAUCUGUGCAACUUGUCCACCACGGUUGCCGCGUGCACAUUACUAUUUGUUGUAGUUGUACGCCGAGGCCCCCCUGGUCCGUCAAGAGCCGUGCCCGGCCGCGUCUCUGUCCGUGACGUGCGUGUCGUCCGCAUGGAGUCCAUCUGUUGGUGACGAGGCACGGCCAGGAACCGGUGGAUCUGCCGCCCCAGCGCCAGGCUUGUGUUGUGUCUCAUGCGCGUGCCGAAUUGCUCGUCAAAUUUGGGUGCAUGCAUAUUUAUGUACUAGAUGAGCGUAAUCGUAGUACGAAUCUGCUGUCCUGCCUGCGCGGCGCUCAUCAAUUUUGGACGUACUAAUAAGCAGCUGGCACAUAGUAGCUCAGCAGCAUGCAAUGGUACUGACGAUACUGCUAAGAGUGACAGUCCGGCCCAUGGCUUACUCCACAAAUCAGUGUGCUACGACAUCACUACUACACUACUAUCUACACCGUCUCUUGGGUUUAUUUUGUUUGCUACUCCGAUCCUAUCAGUUGCCGACCAUCUAUCCUGCUGACGACGAUCGAACCGGCGAGCCGUACUUCCACCGGCCACGCCCCACGCGCCAUGCAUCUCUCCUCCGACCUCCCGUCCUCUCCUUGGGCCGGCCGUCGCCGGUGCCCCUGCCCGGUGUCGUAGCCGAGAAAACCGGGCGAAACGAGCAACAUUCCCCUGAAUUCUGAGGCCUCCCGAGCCGGGCGCCCAGGCCGGCUAAUUGUGGAGUACUACGCGGGCGCCGUCCAGAGAUUCCGAUGGCCUGGCUGAGCUGGACUCACAUCGUUGGCUCGCUAAGCAAUGGCGUUUUGUUUGGUUUCGACGCCAAUGUGUUGCACAUGCCCGAACUUCACGCCCUUGUGUGUACUCCGUACUAUGCUGCAAAACCACAACGAGGCCGCGAUUAAUUAAAUACUAAAGAGAUAAAGAAACAAAGGCAUCAGGACAAUGCAGUAUUCCAGUAUAUCUGUGUAUGUCUAUCCAUGAGAUACAUGUACGUAUAUCUAUAUAUGCCAGCGUGUACUAGUAUAACCUACUAGUAGUAGCAAACAUCCACUGCGCUGCGUCUUUGUUGCUGGACUGGAUGUGGAGAGGAAAUUAAGAAGAGAACAACUACUCGUACUUAUAUAAUACUUCUGUUGUAAAUUAUAAGUUGUCUUCAUUUUUAUAUAUAUUUAUUAUGUAUAUAGACAAGCCAAUAUAAAUAUAACAAAAGAAAUUAGAAGCAAUUUAUAAUUUAAAACGGAGGAAGUACGUAAAUACAUACUCCUACGUUAUUUAUUAAAAAAGUAAAAUACUCAUACAAAUACAAGAGAUAGAUAGAGAGAGAUAUACAGAGAGAGACAACAGUACAUCUAUUGCUUCGUUUCCAGAUCUAUCCUACAGUAUCCUUAUCCGAUGCAAUGGCCCCGUCUCCGCAGCGAAAGGCAUAGGCCGGCCCUGCUCCUCUUUCCCUGUUGCUGAUAAGUUUAGCAUAUCUAUCUACAGAAGAUAAUGUCAGCGAGCGGCGUGCGCCCAUGGGCUCUGCCGGGCAUUGUUUACUUCAAAAAAAAUUAUAAAAUGAGCAUAAUAGUAUUUUUAUUUAUAUUUUAUACAUAUUAUUUAAUUAUAGAUUAAUUAGAUUUAAAAGAUUUAUCUCAUAAAUUAUAGACAUGUAAUUCGUUAGUUUUAUUUAUAUUUAAUACUAUAUAUAUAUGUUAUAAGAUUUGAUGUCAUGGUAAAUAUAAAAAAUUUUGUAAAAUUUUUUAAAAACUAAACAAGGCCAGAUAGGUUAGCCUUCUGCCACUGCCAGCUACUAGCAGAGUACCCAAGAGCCUGUGGACUGUGGGUGACUGGGCGGACGCGGGGUGUAGCUGCAGCAGCCGCAUUACACCACACCACAUCACGUCAUAUUCAUACGGAGGGGUACGUAGUAGUAGAAGUAGACUACUGUACAUCUGAUCUCGGAAGCUACAGAAAUCUGAAGACUACUAGUAGUAUAGAACGUUAGAGUAAUUUGUAAGACGAAUUUUUAAAUCUAAUAGAUAGAUAUUAAUUAUCAAAUAAAACAAAAAUACUAUAAUAGUUAUUAAAUUUGAACAACCAACUAAACACCCUUUAGUACGUGGUACUUCAUAGAGAUACAUCUGCGCAUCUGUAGAUGGUACGACUACUAGUACUUGGGACCUGGAAAUUCGAAAUGUAGUAAAAUCUUUCGAUCUGAUGCACGGUUAACCAUGAUGUUUAGAAUGUUUCUGCUUCUUCUGUGUCAGAUCAGAUGAUCAUCAUCUAGCCUUCUAGGGCUGUUUUUCUUUUUCCUCCAUUAGCAGUAAGUAUACAGUUGAGGAGAAGAUUUACAUCGAAGCAAUGCAAGAAGAAAUGGGAAAUAAACAAACGAACGAACUAAGUGAGAUGCUUGCCGAGAAGGGACUAAAUUCAGCUCGGUGAACGGUGAUGCUACCAUCUGAGUUGAGCGAUCGGGCAAAAAGAAAACGACUAGCUGCUAAACUAGGGAAAGAGAAAGAUCGAUCGCUCCGUCCGUCGCAUUAGUCCGUCUACACUAGUGCCAGCUCCACGAGCUGCUUCUUGAACGCCGCCUGCGGGGGCGAGGCCAAGUCCCGGGCUCUCUUGCACCCGGCGGCCAUGGCCUCCGCUGGCGCCGCGGCGGUGGCGGCCGGCGCCGUCAGCAGGUCGACGCCGAAGAGACGCACGGCCUUCGUCGCCACCGGCGCCGGAGCCGGAGCCGGAGGCGAUGACCCCACGGCGGGGCCUGUCGUCGUCGAGGCGGUGGCGACGCUGUUGGGACGCAGCUUGCAGUCGAUGAAGAGCUUGGUGUCGGCGCCGGCGCCGACCGCGGACGAGCGGUAGAAGCCGACGACGUCGCCGGCCUGGAGGCCCUUCUCCUUGACGAAGCGGCUCCAGCCCUUGGUGAGCACGUAGCUCUGGCUGCUGUUCCAGUAGGAGUAGCGGAACCGCCACACCUUGCCCGCGGCGUCCUCCAGGUUGAGGAGCACGCCCUUGCUCUCGCCGCCGGCGGACGGGAGCUGCAGCGGGAAGUGCUUCUCGGCGUGCUGCUUCGGGAUCACCAGCCGGUUCAGCUUGCCCACGUCGCUCGGGGUCACCGUCUUGUCGAAGAGGUGCUCCCGAGCCGUCGCGGGGGAGGGCGACGCGAGGGAGGAAUGGUUGUUGUUGUUGUUGGCUAGUGACGAGGCGGUGGUGGUGGCCGCGGACGAGGCGGCGGCGGCGGCGGCGGCGGCGAAGGCGCGCUUGUUCUGCGCGAGCUCGUCGAAGUAGGUGUGCUUGCGGAGCAUGUCGACGACCUCGGCCUUGGAGCGUGACGCGAGGAACCGGAGCUCGGCGGCGGCGUCCGGGUCGGCGUCCGCGAGCGGGCGGAAGUUGGUGACGGCGUCGCGGCCGCGGAACCGCUGCGCGGCGACGUCGUAGGCGCGCGCGGCGUCGGCCUCGCCCGCGAACGUGCCGAGCCACACGCGUUGGUGGCGCUCGUAGAUCUGCGCGCCCCACCGCCCGUUGGGCUGGGGCACCACGCCCUUGUACCUGGACGACGGCAGCUUCCCGCCCACGCCCACCGCGCCCGGGGCGGCGGCAGCAGCAGAGUCCGCCUCGGCGCCCGGCUCGGCCGCGUCAAGGACCGCGCUGGCGCCGCUGCCCAUGCGCUCCAGCGGCGGGCCCGAGGCGGCGGCGGCGACGGCCAAAGCCCUUAGCUUGUCCGUGGACGCGCCGCCACCGCCUCCGCUGCCGCUGCUGGUGUCGUCCACGAGGCUGCUGGCGCUGUCCAUUUUCAGUGCACCACUGCUGGAAGCUGGCUAUAGCUGGGCUUGGGCACCGCGUAUGUAUGCUUCUGUUCCGGGGAGAUGUUUGUAGUGUUGUAGGAUAGGUUGAGGAGGGGGAGGGUGCCGAGGGAUAUAUAGCCUCACCGGUGGGUGGGUGGAAACUCACUGGAGACUGGAGAGAGCGCGGCGUAGGAGAGGUAGCUGUUUUCUGGGGACUGCCACGCCGUAGGCCGUAUAGCCAUACCGCUACACCCAUGUCUGCGUGUGCAAAUGGUUUGGUUACGUUCCGCCUUCGCGGCCGUGUUUUGGGCUUGUUUUCUUGUGAUUUUUCCGGUGCUUGGAGAUGUUGCCGCGUUGGAUUGGAUGCAAGUAAUAUACUCCUACUACUAUACUACCGUACCAGUACGACGAGACGUCAUCACAUCACCCUGUGGCCGUGGCCCGUGGGUUGCUAGUAGUUUCGGCGAGUGUGGGUGACUUGAGCGUGGGUCAGUCAACUCGGGCCAAUCUCUCACGGGGCAUGCGCCGAGAUCAACCUAUAAGAUAUUAUUAGCCCAUAUGGAAAGGAAAUAAAGAAAAGAUUUUUUUUUUCUUGUUCUUGUUGCUGCUGAAGUGGUGCUGAUGAUGCGAGCAAGGCUGGCUGGCAGCCCACAGGUGCUGGCUUUGCCAUGUCAUCUCUUGAUCUCUUUCUAUCUUUGGCCUUUGGCCUUUUGCACUCAAAGAUACGGCAUUUUUUUAAAACCUUAUUAGACGUCCGGCCGUCCGGGGUUUUGUGUGUUUCAGAUUGGUCGUGUCUCAUAUGUGUUGUUGUUGUUGCUGCUGUUGAAUUAUUGGUAUAGACCUCUCCCUCACUCUAGAAGCUUGUAGAGGCUAGAGAGACAGGUAUAUAUGUAGCAUCAACACAGGAAAAUCCUUUGAUGGGAAUGUCAUGGAAUUAGAAACUACUACUCCAUCCCAAAUUGUAAGUCGUUUGACUUUUUUUACCCCAAAUUUGACCACUCGUCUUAUUCAAAAAAAUUGUGCAAAUAUAGUCAAAUUUUAAGUCAUUCUUGAAGAACUUUUAUUAAUAAACCAAUACACAACAAAAAAAAGUGAUAUUUUGUACAAAACUUUGAAUAAGACGAGUGGUCAAAUUUGAUAUUAAAAAAGUCAAACGACUUAUAAUUUGAGAUGGAUUGAGUAGAAAACAACUUGCAUUGGUAACUAUCUUGUUGUACAAGUGACAGAUGCGUGGAGACAUGCUCAACCUGGGAGAAUAGUCCAAAACGCCGGAGAGGCUUCCUGCAUAGGAACAUCACUGUUGCUUCCUGUUAUUGAAUUGUAGCCUAGACGAUGACGCUUUGUUAGGUUUAUUACACAUUCCUUAGUCAUUUCUGAAUCAAGGUUGUUUCCUGGGAUAUGAUAGUUCGCAGAGAUGUGAACUAAAUACAAAAAAAGUCAUGGUUCAACAAUCUUCUCGGAUGUGUACACUUCAAGUUCAACAAUCUGAAUGUGUACACUUCCAAGCAGUUGCUCCAUAACACUGUAUAUACUAUGCUUAUUUCAAAGAGAAAAUAAACUCUCGUAAUUUUGAAGAUAUGCAUCUCAAAGGUCCUCUCCCGUAGCUUUUAUCAGAACUAUUCAAAGGAGGAAUAAUAGGUCCCGCAACAGGGCGCCAAUGCUACAAUCAACCAAGUUGAAAUAAUACGAACCAACUGAGUGUACUUAUACAGGUAGAUCCAGUCAACACUGAGCGUAUUUGUCUACGAAAAAUCUAUUACCUUGAUGCAGUCCAGAUAUAAAGAAGAACCCGGGGUAGAAUAAUAGAGCAGCAACAAAAAUAGGCGAUUUUUUUCUAGAAAAAAUACUCCAUCAAUCCAUGUUCUUAUGCGUGCUAAGAAUAUUUGUGAGACAUGCUCCCUCCAUUCCAAAAUAAGUGUCAUUCUCGCUUUUUAAGAGUCAAAUCCUUUUGACUUUGACCAUAAAUAAAAAUAUUUUCCCAAAAAAUAUAUAAAAUUUAUUAAAAUUUAUAAUACGUAAUUAUUAUUAUUAGAUAUAACAUAGAAUCUAUUUUUUAUAAUAAAAUUAUUUGGAUAUAUAAAUAUUACUUAUUUUUUCUAUAAACCUAGUCAAACAUUAAAAUGUUUGACCAGAUGAUUAGAAUCUAUAGUACCUGUGUUGGUCAAACUUUUAGGAUAUCUUGCUAAUAUUUGUUAAUUUGUCUUUUUUUCAUAAUAGCAUAUCUUGGUAUAUUUUUAUGAACCAAAUAUAUCUAGAGGUUAUCAUUAUCAUUGAUGAUUAGAAUCUACUAAAUCUAUGGCAAAAUCUUUCUGAUUUUUUGAGAAUUUCUAAGAUAUUUUUGUUAAGGUAUCCUGUGAUAUGAUCAACGUGGAUGCUCCUAUAUAGGGACCUCCAAUUAGUAGUAGUAAGAUUUGAUGAAAUAAAGUUAUUUAAACAUAUACAUUUAAUAAUAAAUAAUAAGAACAAAAAGGCUUGACCAGAUACUUUCAGACUUCCAUAGCUCCAGCUCUUGCAUUUUUUUUGAGUUAGGGAUGGCCAACUCUAAGAAUUGUCGGAGUUGGGUUGUGCAAAACAUGGCCUAAAUGUCGUGCAACAUAACUUAGAAAUUAGAGCAUCUCCAAGAGACUAGGUAAAAUUAUAUUCUAAACUACAAGAUUUAGCCAUUGUAUAAAAUAAAAAACUCACUCAAAGCAUAGAGUUCCACAACAGCAUUUGUAUAUGAUAGCUAGUAAGGACAAUAUGCUAUAUAUGACAAGGGAAAGUUUAGGAAUAGCAAAUCAGAUAGCACACCUGUUGAACUUUAAUUUUCACUUUGAAAAUGUAAAAUUAGGCUAGAUAACAUGGAUAGUAUAUGUGUUGGAGUUGCUCUUAGGAUGUUAUAUCGUGUGAGUUCUAAAAGAACGAUGGCUAGCUAUAAUUUAAUUUAUGUCUCCAAGGUCUAUUGUCUAACUGUUUCUGGCUCCAUUUGGUGUUUUUAUUCUCCAUCUGGGUUGGAUUCCACCUUAAGCUUUGUUUAGAUGUUGUCGGAUUCACCUCAAUCCACAUGUGUUGGAGUAGAUUGGGAUGGAAUUUAGUUUAAGUUCCACUCCAACCUACCUCAACACAUGUGAUGCGAAUCCGACUACAUCUAAACAAGACCUUACAUGUGGAAGAACGAAGCAGCAAAACACACAUGAAAAAAGCAUGAGAGCUUUCAGAGGUUGGCUGUUGGCUCUACUCUACUUGAAAGAAUGGGAAAGGGCUAAGCAUUUCAGAUACCCUUUUGCACACUGUUGGUUUCAUAUUCAUCUUAUACUCCAAGGAGUAUAUAAAUUAACAAAAGCUGUUCCAAGGAUAACAUUUCCCUGAGCAGCAGUUGUUGAUGAUACUACUCCUACUCCUACUUGAUAUACGCAUGUCGGCGCGUGCAUGCGGCCAAUUCCAAACCGGCAAGUUGCGUUUAGAAUUUGGCAGCAACAGAUGGGUGCGCGCUGUGCGCUGUGCGUGGCUGGAUAGAUAGAUAGAUGUCUCCAGGGGCCGCCCCCGGCACGUACUACGCGAGCGAAAACAACAGCGCGCCCGAGAAAUCUGGUCAGAUUUGUUGCAACUUGCUGCUCGUGCUCGCGAGCUGAGGUUGCCAGCCCCGGAUGUGCCGAACGUCAAGUGGAUGCCGCCACGAAACAGUAGAGUAAUUAAUUGCAACGGCGACUCUCGCUGCAACUUGGGCAUAUUUCGCAAAAUGGAUAUUAUAGUAUUUUCGUUUGUAUUUGGCAAAUAUUAUCUAAUUAUAGGCUAACUAGUUUUAAAAUAUUCGUCUCGUAAAUUAUAGGUUAAUUGUAUAAUUAGUUAUUUAUUUUAUUUAUAUUUAAUGUUAUAUGUAUGUGUCACAAGAUUCGAUGUGACGGAGAAUCUGAAAAGUUUUGCAAUUUUUUUUGGAAACUAAGGCCUUGUUUAGUUCACGUGCGAAAAGUUUUUGGGCUAUAACACUUUCGUUUGUAUGUAGCAAUUAUUGUCUAAUUAUGCACUAAUUAGAAUUAAAAUAUUCGUCUCACAAAUUACAUGUAAAUUAUACAAUUAGUUAUUUAUUUUAUUUAUAUUUAGUGCUUUAUGCAUAUGCCGCAAGAUUUAAUAUGAUAAUGAAUUACAAAAAAGUUCAGAUUUUUUGAAUAAAAGUAAACAAGGCCUAAACAACUCAUCAGUCAUCACGCAGGUGAGUCAUUCGUACAUGUAAUCAUGGACGACAGAUUUCAUUUCAGAACCGCGACGCGCGUAUAUAAACAAAUAAAAUCUCUCACAAAAAAACGCGCGCGAUGGAUUGGGGAGGCCGGCGAAGACCAAGACUCGGGUGCCGGUCUAAACCGGUGACGUUUUGUACUGCAUGGUUUUGGUGGGAGGCAGCAGCUAUGAUUGCAAUGGUCUGCUGGCUGGUGUACGUGCAUGUGGUACCAACAACAACGACGUAACCUUUGCAUUGGGCGAGCUCUAGAGAGGUAGGCAUACAGAGAGAUGCUCGCUAGGAAAUUGGAGGAAGUCCUUUGUGACUAGGAGUGGAAAAUUAGCAACAAGGAAGACCUUUUAUUUGUGAUGCCAAAGACUUCAAUUUCCAACAACAUGAUGCCAUCUAUCGUGCGAGCUUGAGUUCAUUCAGUCUGUCGUUGUCUAGAAUAAAAACUAUGGGAGUGGAGAAAAGGUUGACUGUUUUUCUUUUACGUUUAAUUACAUUAUUCUCUGUUAGACUAGAUGUGCAUACGCCAUUGCCACACGUAUGUCUGACGAGGCGGACGUAAAUAUACAAAGUUUUCUCUCAUAUAACAACAACAACAACAAUAAUAUAAUAUAACAAAUUUAGAUGUGCACUCUAGCCCUCAGUCCCAAAAUAAACGACUACCUUGUAUUUUGAUGAGUCAACUAAUUUUAAAUUCAACUAGAUUUAUAAAAAAUAGUAUCAAUAUUUUUAUAUCUAAUAGACUAACUACUCAGAGGGAGAGAAUAAUUUUCCAGUAGCAGAACACAGUGUCAAGUUUGGCGGGCGCGCUGUAUAUAUGAGGUUGAGGACCAUUUGCAUGCAUGCUCUCCUAUCUGAUCUAUCACGGACUUCCUUGCGGUCGUAGAUUCCGAGCCAUUCGCCAGCUGAUGUUUCCUUCGUGACCUCCACUCCAAGUCAUCUCGCUCCCAGUCAUCGUCCGUCGAUGCACUCCACGAUCUGCCAAGAAUAGAUUACUUCACAAAAGCAUGCUACUAGUACGUGCUUCUAGAAAAAUGCCCUGAUGAAAACCAAGCCUGAAGUGAAACACGUCUACGCACACACAUAAAAAUGUUGUGCUACCAUAUCUAAUUUCUUAUGGGUGGGGUGGGAAACAAAAAGUGCUAUUGUAUUCUUUUUUUUAAUCCAUGUUGCACAUCUGACCCAGCAGUUCAGCACCAUGGACUGGACCAUGAUGCUUCCAAUCCAUGCAUGGCAGGGCGCGAGGCCCCGGUAUAUGGGGCUUGAGGUUGAGGGGUGGGCCCAGACGAGAACGAGAUGAGGAGGCAGGUGGAUGAGGGAGGAGCGUGGCAAUCACAUGAAGUGUGGACCCAACCCAAGCCCAGGUGCAGCCCCCCACAAAACAAUUUGCAGCUGUUGCACAGGUGCUGACCGCUGACAUUGCCAUUGCCAUUACCAUUGCCAUUGCUACCAGUAUUUGGGCCUCUUCUCUCUCUGUUUCUAUCUCCUGUGCCUAUCUUUCCAACCAUUUGUUUGUUUUUUUGUCUUUUCCUCUAAAUAAUGCAGCAGAGAGCUAGCUAGGGAGAUGCGAUGCGAUAUUCUAUCUGUUGAUUUGGCUAGCUUAGCUGCAGAUAAGGAGGUCGACGAGGCGACGACGACAAGACAAACUAUAUAUACAUGUCCGUUCCACGGCGUCCACUUGUUUAUCUCGGAUGGGCCGGAAGAAUGCACUGCUGUCCGUCCCAGCUUGGGAUAUGGUGGUGGUUUCUUGUUCCUCGACCCUCUCUUGUUCGGCUUUCAUUGCAGUAUACUCCUGCUCCUAGUAGUAACUAGUAGCAAGUGGCUGUGUUUUUUUUUUCAUCCAUUCUACUGUAAUUUUGGAGUUGGAAUCGUCAUCGGAGCAGAAAAGGACAACGAGCGCUAGCUUAUUUGUAUACACGUAUCUCAUUCGUUCCUAUCUGAAAGUUCACGUGGAAACAUCUGCGCUUGUUGCGUGUUUAUUUGUACACGUAUCUCAUUCUUCCCCCCCUUGCCCGGCCUGUGUGCUGCUCACGGAUCCAUCCAUCUCUCGUCCAUAGAAAGCGACGGUGCCAAGCCACACGACAAAUUCAAGUGCUAAUCUGCCUUUUCAGCUGGCCUGUACGUAUGUUUUGCCAUCAUUCAGACUCCGCUAGCAUUGCAAUUCCCAUGGUGGAGUGCAUAUACUCCUCUGUUCUCUGUUAUUUGAAGUGCCGAUAUGGUAUUCGUACUGGUUAUUUUUUUAAAAAAAACUAAUUUAAUUUAUAAAAAAUAUUAACAAUAUUUGUAGCUUUAUAAAUUUAUUAUGAAAAUAGAUUUAACGAUAUAUCUCAUGAUGCUAAAUUGUACUAUAAAUAAUAAUAUGUUUCAUAUAUCCCAUCAAAGUUAAAUAUGUUUGACUUUUCGGAAAUGACAUGUGGAAAAGUGAGAGCACAACAGUAAAAAAGGGAUAGAGUGACUCUAUGCUACUCCCUUCAUUAUAAAUUAUAAGAUAUUUUUAUUCUUUUAUAAUUUAAUUUAGAAUGUAGGGAGUAUUUUCUUAGAUAUAGGAAACAUCCCCAGCCUCUGCGUGUAUAUCUAAUAAAUUCAAAAGGCCCUUAUAGUCUGCUUAAGGUAUGAAAAGUGUACCAUGAUUAUAAUUAAGUUGCUUCAAGAGACAGAAACACGAAGCAUUUUUACAAGCAGCUUCACUACCAAUUGCUAUAGUAGUAGUAGGUGUUUAACUAGGCUGGCAAAUAAUAGAGUCCUUAAGUUUUCUUUUAAGGGCCUUUUGAAUUUUAGAGUAAUCAGUUCAUUUCUUUUUACAAGAAAAACGUAGGAAUCAGUUCAUUAUUUGGGGGGCGUGCUGCAGGAGUCUACUGGAUUUUUGCUGCGUCAUCGUUUGUCAAAUGUCACUGUGUCUUCUGGUUGCGUCUUGUGCCGUCGUGCAGCCCCGCUAGGCAGCAGGCUGAGCAGAUUAAUGGUUCGGUUUGCGCACCCGGCAUAUCUCGUCGCCCUGGUGGUGGUGGUGGAUCCCAUCACCGAUCACCGUUAAAAAGGGGGCCCUCACGGCAAUACACUCACGGCCUGAUAUGAUCCUCCACAUCCUUUGACAGUUUGACAUGAAAAAAAGUGCGAGGAGCCGAAAAGGAAAAGGUAACAGAUGGACUGGGGGAAAAAAGAACAACAAACUACUCACAGAAACGGAUAUAAAAGGUUAAAGCGGCGUCGUUUGCUUGUUCCCGGGCCAGCCUUCACGUGUUUCAAUUCCAACUUGCCGGCUAGUCAGCCAUUGUCUAUCGAAUCUACUAAUUAUUUAAUAGUGUUUUUUAUAAAAAAUUAACGAACAGUACUUUUAGUCAUAGUUUAUCAGCCAAGCAAAUGUGUUCGUUAAUGCCUCGCUUACUCCACAGACCCACACCACACCAAAUGUCCAGUUGCCGAGUUUUCUUGUCAGUAGUUACGAAGGGAGUACCUACCUACCGGCCAUUACUUAAAUCAGGAGUUCCUAACCUAAUCAGCCCAUUAUUAUUCACUGAUUCAGGCAGGCAGGCAUUCGGCGAUCCUUAUCCCGACCGCGGCAGCUCCCGCCCAUGCCCGCCGUAUCCCGUAUCUCCUCCAUCUGCAUGCAUGCGAUCCUUGUGCCAAUCCGCGCAUCUGCGCCUGCUGUUCUCUGCCAUCAUUCACCUCAUCUCAUCCCCGUCUCCACCGACCCGCGCGUGACUCCUCCAGCUCGGCGGAUGCCGAUCGGCCCAACAAGCCGCAAAAUUAUUAUUAAUAUAUAUACUGCACAUAGGAGUAUGUACCACUCACCUAGGACUUGUUUAGUUCAUCCUGAAAACCAAAAAGUUUUCAAUAUUUUUCGUCACAUCGAAUCUUGUGGCACAUGUAUAAAACAUUAAAUAUAGACGAAAACAAAAACUAAUUAUACAGUUUAGCUGUAAAUCACGAGACGAAUCUUUUGAUCCUAGUUAGUCUAUAAUUAGAUAAUAUUUGUCAUAAAUAAACGAAAAUGCUAACUUUUCGCAACUAAACAAGGCCCUAGUCACCUGACACUCGCAACAAUGCAUGCGGUGCCCUGGAUGGAUAGCUACUACCGGCAGCUCAUCUGCACUCAUAGCGCGCAUGUGUUCCAUAUCACCGCAAAAAAAAAAAAGUGCACCAAGUUUUUAUUUGGCUGUAUAGUUUAUUUAUCCAGUCUUAUGUCACAGCUUGCGUAAGCCUGUUAGUUACACGUCAGUCGUCACAUGCACGCGCAUGCUACUUGCUUUCUAAGGCCAGUGUCAGUGGCAUAUUUUUUUCUAAAACAAAUUUGCUGACAGGGCAUCAAUAAAACAAAUAAUGAAACAAUCUCCACAGUGUAUGAGUUCACUUUGACAUUUCCUAGACUGAGUAAAGCAUUUAAUUACUACAAAAUGAUUGGAUCGCAUGCAAGAUGGUGAAACGAUUUAGCCUUUAGUGGGGAUUUCAUCCCGUUUCACCGCGUAGGAAACAACGUCCGCGGGGUUUCACUAUGGUAAAACUACUUCCUUCUCUCUUCUCUUGGUUUCAUACAAAAAGUGUAGCUUUGCUGAUAUGACGCUCUAAUAAAUAUGCAUGACAUCCUAGUGAAAUCACCAAUUCUAACCACCACUUGUUUAGCUCUGAUUCCAGCUCCAGGUGUGCUCCGUGAACGUUGCGGCUAGAAAAAAAAAAUCCUCGGGUUUAUCCGACGACGACGAGGGCGCAAAAUUAAAGCUAGCGCUGCCGCCUGCCCGUCGCUAUCGGUAGAAACGAAGACGAUGCUGUCACUAAAUUAGGCGCGUGUUGGCGAUUUAAUUUGCAUGGUUGUUUAAGACAAAAAAAGGGCAGCAGCGCGCGCCAUUCACAGUUCUGACCAAACGGGGCUGCUGGUCCAUUGGAGGAGGUGGCAUCCGAUCCUCCUCCUCCUCCUCCUCCUCGCGCCAUUUCUUUCGCUUUCUUUUUAAGCCGGCCGGCCCAUGUGAAGAUUGUUUUGCACGGCCGUUCCCCUGGAUUUCAAAAAUGCUCGCUCGCACCGUCGCACGUAUAGGGUACAAAUAUAUAUGAUUUGAAUAUUUGAUGCGGAUCGAGAAGCGAGAUGGUCUCAUACAUUUUGUUGGUGGUAGUAAGUAUAUCAUCGUCAUCAGCCACUAAACAAGCACACCUUAUUAAGGUUCGGACUUUUGCGUUGGCAUGUGAUUAUGAGUGACUGGUACGUGUGUGCAACGUGUCGCCAGGGGAAUUUUCCGGUACCGUGCCUGUGGGCUGGGAAUGGUACGUGUUCACGGGUUCCAAUGGAACCCAUUGGAGUGAAGUGCUAAUUUUACGUCCAAUUUUUCCUUUUAGUUACUCACUCUAUCCCCAAAAAAAAUUUCGUUCUUGAUUUUUCUAUAAAUCAAAUAAUUUAACUUAACUAAAUAUAUACAUACAAAUAUUAAUAUUUUAUUACAUAAUCAGUAUUAUUUGAUAUAUUAUUGAACUUAUUUUUAUAAUAAAUUUAUUUGAAGAUACAUAUAUUGUUAUUUUUUCUAUAGACCUUGUUAAAUUUAAUAAAAUAAAAUUUGAUCGGCAUGAAUAAUUUAAAGUAAAUUAAAUUAUUUAUACCAACAAAUAGUAUUAAAUUAAUAUUCAAAGAGAUAUAUAUAUAUAUAUAGCACAUACUAAAAUAGUUUCAAUACAUCAUUAGUAAUAUUAAAAUUAAAUAAAGAGUUUUACUAAAAUUAAAUAAUAAGUCACUAGCCACGGAAAAAACUUUUAAAUAGAUUCAUUAGUGGGAAAUUUCCGCAACAUUCAUUGACCAGCGAAAAAUGCAAAUACUAGCACUGCUAAAAAAUUGACGACGAGAAGGAAACAAUAACGGCCCUCGUCCUUGGAGUAUUUAGAUCACUGGACUCUCUAAUUUACCUAGUGCUGCGUACUUUUUUUAGAUAAUGGAUAGAAGAAUCCGACCUCUACGUUCUGGGAUGUACACGGCCAAAUAAUACAAAGUUAAGGAAAAAGAGAAGCCUUAGUCUUAUAGAUCGACCAGGACGCUAGUACAAACAAUAAAUGUGUUUUCAUCCUUUAUUGGAUAACUCUAAAGCAAUUACUUCUAAUUACUUGCUCAACGUUGAUAGUGCGUCCACAGCUAUCUCAUCAUGCUGCAACGGGGCCCAAGUUCGUAACCAGUAUGCUCCUCUGAAAAUUACCUGCAUAAUGGAGUUAGAUUUCGUUUGAUUAAAAAUAACAUCAUUACGACAUCUCCAGAUUGCCCAGUACAUGGCAGCCACCCACACCCAGAUCAGAUUUCUCAUCCUUUUAUUUUGAUUAGAAAGUCAACCACCAAACAUGUGGCUGAUUGAUCUGGGUUGGGUUAAAUUAGUAGCAAAAAAGAUAAUCCUCCAAAUCGUCUUGGUAAGGGGAUAGUCUAGGAAUAGGUGUUGGAUAGUUUCAUUCCUAUUACAGCUAAUGCACUUCUGACUGCCCUUCCAAUUUUUUGGCGAGGUUAUCUUUGGUCAAAACAACACCUCUUUGUAAAAACCAGAGGGAGAUCUUAAUUUUUAGAGGAAUUUUCAUCUUCCAGAUCUUCUUAUGGUGAAAAGGUGUUUGUGU